GAGAUACUUCCUGGACAAGUGCUAUAAAAACAACAACAAAUACUUUUAUUAAUUCGGGGAGCCUGGUCACCAACUGGAUGCUCAGGGGAGACGGAACCCUGAGCAGCCCAUGUACAUGGAAGAUCUUUAUUGCAGAGAUCUUUAAACCAGGAUCUUCUAAGGGUGUGAGGAUACAGGCGUCAAAGACCCCGUGCUGAGACAGCUCCAUAACAACAUGCAGAUAUUUGGCAAUGAGGAUUCAGAAGAGGACUUGCUGUGGAGAAGGGAGAAAAGAGGUGGGAAGACUCUGUGAAUGAAUAGAGAACACUCUGCAAGCAUCCCAGUUCCUUUGGUUGCCCUGCAGUCUGCAGGUACCAGGAAAAAUCAAAAGCCGCCUGGAAGGGCUUUCUGUCUGUAUGGAGUCAAGGCAGUGUCUUCAAAUCUAUGCUUUCUAAAACAAAGAAAUAACCUUGAUGAAACAAAUUUUCCCCAGAGGAAGGGGAGAGCCCACAGUGAGCUGGUAAAGAAGAUGCCUGGAGCAGGCGGCAUCCUCAAAUGGAAGGUAAUUGCCCUCAAAUCACUUAACUAGGAUGACCUACUUUGCUUUCCUGUAUAGCCAGGUCUGUUAUCAGACCCUUAUCUUGGGAGGCAUCGUGUCAGAGCCUGGGGCAAGAAAGGGCUGGUAUCCAGGAAUGCAGGUGAAAUUAUAGCUAUUAGCCCUGUCUUAGAGUGUGAGGAAAAUGUGCCCCCCUACCCCUGGCUAAGUUUGGGUUCCCAUGUCAUAAACUGCCUCCCUCUCUGAUAGCUCUGCAUAAACAUCCCAGGAACUCAAAGUAACAUUUGAUUUCCCAAAGAGAACAUUUGCAUUUGUAACUGUCAGAAAUAGGAGAGAUCAUCAAAGCUAAAUGAAUUGGGCUAUAAACAGUUUGAAAUAUGUCCUUAAAUUUUAAAAAAACAUAUUUUUUGUUUGUUUUGGGGAGAGAGGAUCAUUUAGACUCAACAACAAAACAGAAAACUGUGAGUGCCAUUUUGAGACAAGACCUACCUGGUCCUUCCCCCUCAUACUUUCUGCUACCCUGUGACCUCCCUCUCUCCUUCCAGUCACAGAUUAUCCGCUUGGUUUUGGAGUUUUAAAUGUGUGGUCCUGAGAGGGAGAGGAGAGCAAGAGCAUCUCAAGAUAGAUUUGGAAGAUUGGGGUAAGACAGUGAGGGUACUAGAAGUGCUUUCCCAAGUGAGUCCCCAGAAGGGAGGGAAAAUAUCCAUGGAGAAGGGGCAGUGUGGUUGGUCCUGGCUAAAGGGCCUGAACAGCAGAGGCUAUUGCAGCCCUGCAUAGCACAGGGCAAUGGAAUAACUUCUUAGGCCCCCAAACUGCAUGGAAGCAGAUAGGGUCUUAGAAGCACGGGGUUGCUUUCCUGGACCCAGUGUGGCUUGGAAGCCACAAAAUGUUUCCUGUGCACCUACAAGAGUGUAAGAAAACCACUGGAUAGGAAAGGACCUUGCAGACUGGAAUGAGUCAUCAUGCAGACCAAAGUCUACCUCAGUGGAUGGCAGUGUGGAUGGAUAGGGACAGAUGUCUGGAUACUGUCUCUCGUGUGCACUCCCACCCCAGCCUUUUGGUAUUCCUGGUACAAAGAUAUAACUCUUAGGAAGAGCAGAAACCCUAAAUAGGCUGAGAUUAAGUUUCUUUCACCUGGAAGAAUGAAGACUAUGGUAGAUUUUGAGUUAUAAAACUCAAAUUUUUGCAUUUCUUGAACACCUAAGUCUAUGGACUGAUAUUAGCACCAGCUGCAGAAAUAAGCACAGUUCUCGCCACUUUUCAAUUUGAAUGCAGAAGGAGCCUUGUCUGGCCAUAGCUCUGCCCUCUACAGUGGAAAACAUAACUUUAGUGGAAUUUAGAGAUCUUUGAGUAAAGACAGAAGAAUAGCAAAGUCUGUUAUUUACCACCUCACUUUUUUUGUACAAAUAUUUGAAAGCAUUUUCGCAUUAUACAAUAUAAUUUGUUUCUAUCUAUUUUGUGGCAAACACAUCUGUUAGAGGAAUUAUUGCAUUUUUUCCCCCUAGAAAGCUGUCUCCUUAAUCUUUCCACAAAGUCUUGAGAAUGUUAGCUUCUUUUUCUACAUUCUUGGAAAUCACAGCGUGGUGUUCCUCCUGACGGCACUCCCACCUUCAUCAUUCUGUGCUUACAGUUUCACCACAUUCCAUUGUUCUAAUGAGGUGACUGAGUGGAAGCUGAGGUUAGCAGAUAAAACAUAGAACAGGAGCAGCCCUUGGCUCCUUUCCCUUGGAGGGUGCUUCAAAAGAGGUGAAGUUUUCAAAGAUAGAACUUCAGGGAGAGGGUUUUGUGUUCCGGCUUCAAAGUGGCAAUUCUUUCCUGAGUUGUCACCUGGACUAUCUUACCAUAUUUCCUGGUUGAAUGAUUCCUCUAAAUCUUAUCUUAGCCUGGCCAAAUAUCCCUGGUCCCUUUGAUAUCUAAGUCUUCUGGCCAAGAAGCAAAUUCCUGUAGUUCCAAAUCAGUAGCUCAAGUUCCUGGGACAGACUACCCGCAGGCCCUCAAGUUGCUGUCUGGUUGUCGUCUAAAAAGUUGAUGUCACAGGCCAGUUGAUAUCAAAGAGUCCUGGGUUUAAAAACUGACUCAGGACUUCUAAUUGUAAGGCCUUACACAAGUUAUGUGACAAUUCUUAAUCUAAGUUUCCUCAGCUGUAAAGUGGGGAUUAUAGCAAUAUCCCACAAUACCUCUGACAAUGAAAUAAUGUGUAUAUAUUGCUUGGCACCGGAUAUGGUUUGGAUCUGUAUCCCCACCCAAAUCUCAUGUUGAAAUGUAAUCUGUUAUGUUGGAGGUGGGACCUGGUGGGAGGUGAUUGAAUCAUGGGGGUGGUUUCUAAUGGUUUAUCACCGUCUCCCUAGAGCUGUUCUCAUGAUAGAGUUCUCGUGAGAUCUGGUUGUCUAAAAGUGUGUGGCACCUCCCCACCCCACUUUUCCUCCUGCUCCAGCAAUGUUCAAUGUGCCUGCUUCCUGUUCACCUUCUGCCAUGAUUGUAAGUUUCCUGAGGCCUCCCCUGCCAUGCCUCCUGUACAGCCUGUGGAACUAUGAGCCAAUUAAACCUCUUUUCUUUAUAAAUUGCCCAGCCUCAGGUAUUCUUUAUAGCAGUACAAGAACUAAUACAGCACCUAAUAGGCAUUCAACAAAUAGUAAUUCCCUGCUCCUUCUGCCUAAGCAGACAUGCAUGGGUUUGUGUAUCUAAACUGUAGGACUUUACAAAGACUAAAAUGGAAUUUUUUGAGGCAUUUCACUAUAAUCAAUAAAAUAAAGUAUUUGUAAUCAUGUUUAUUUAUCUGCUGAUUUCCUAUUAUGUAUUUAUCACAUUAUAUUUUAGCUGUCUGAUUAUGUUAUGAGAUCAUUCAAGGUUGGAACUCUGUCUAAAAUUCUCUAUAAAUCUCCAGGACUUAAAAAAACACUCAGUGAAUGCUUGAUAAGUGAACAAAUGAAUUAAUAGAUUCCUAAUUAGGCAUUUAGAUGAUGGAUUUUGCUAAUGCCCUUGUCCCAUAAGUACUUUAAUAAAUAAUUGUUGAGGACAUAGAAUGCUCAACAUAAUGUGUCCUAUGAUGCUAAGGUCCUUACAAUAAAGUGGAGGAUCCUAAUCACUUACUAGACAAGCACAGGAACUUCUAUAACAUGAAUAGAUUGGUACCAUAAACUAUAUAUAGAGAGAUGGGGCAUUUAGCAGAGGGAGAGAUUACAUUUGGUUGAGGGAUUAAGAAAAGUUUCAUUGCAGAAUGAGGUAGCAAUGGAACUGAACCUCAGAAGGUGAAUGAGUGUGACAACAGUGACGAGAGGGAUGCUCCAGUGGACAUUUUUGCCUAAGGCACAGUGUGAUGGGUGUCCAGAGGGCUGCCAGUAGCCUGGUGUGUAGCACAAAGUAUGUGCAAGUUGGUUAAAGCUGCAGACAGAGGGAGGGUUUUGAAAAACAGCCAGACUGAGAAAUUGGGUAAGUCCGGCAAUGAGAGUUACUAAAAAUUUAGAGCAAGGAAGUUUCAGUUUUAAUUAACAUUUAUGGAGUGCCUUCAUUUUACAGAUUAGGCAAAUGAAGUUCAGACAAGUUAAAUGAUUUGCCCAAAGUCAGACGGAUUGAAAGUGACAGAGCUAGAAUUCUACUGGAGUCUCUUGACUCCAAGAUCAAUACUCCCAGCACACCACAGCCACUCCUCUCGCUGUGCAGCAGGAUAGGCUGAACUGCAGCGAGGGUGACUGAAGGUAGGGAUCCCAGCUGAGAGGAAUGAGAGAUGUUUCCUUUACAUUCAGGCACUGAAUCACUGCCACAAGCAAAGCAACCUCGAACAUAAGACGAUCUCCCGUCUUCCCAAUGAGAGGAUCCAAAAAGAUCUGAUCUGAAUAUAGAAACUGACUGGAAGUGAUGGAAGGAGCCAGAUUUUGAAGUAAAUAUGGAGGAAGCCAGUCUUAGUAAAGUCUAAAUCUUAACAGGUACAAAAAUACAGUUAGAGAAAAGGCAUAGGUCCUGAUAUUUGAUAGUACAGUAGGGAUAUUAUAUUUAACAAUAAUUUAUUGUGUAUUUCAGAAUAGCUGGAAGAGAAGAAUUGUAAUGUUCCCAACACAAAGAAAAGAUCAAUGUUUGAGGUGAAGGAUAUUCCAAUGACCCUGAUUUGAUCAUUAGACAUUGAAGACAGGAAUCAAAAUAGCACUGGCGUUCCCAAAAUAUGUACAACUAUUAUAUAUAAAUAAAAAUUUUAAAAUUUAAAAAGCAUUAAUGAUGAAGGCAGCAAGUGCUAUAAUCAGAUUUGCAUUUUAAAAAGAGAAUUUUGUCAUCAGUGUGGAGCCUGGAUUAGAGGCAAAGUGGGAGAUAAAGAACGCAGUGGACUUCUAUAGAAAUCCAGGGGUUUUGGUGGCCUGUGCUAAGGUGGUGGUUGUGAGACAUGAGAGGAAAAGACAGGUAUAAAAGGCAUUUGGGAAGUGUGGGAGAAAAGAUUCCAUCAGAGAGGGAGAAAGGAAGGUCAAGGGUGACUCCAGAGUUUCUGUUUUGAGCAAUUUUGUGUAUAGUGGGUCAUUGAAUGUCAGAUGCAAGGCAUGUUGAUGAGGACAAAUUUAUAGAACUAAGAAACUGGAGUGGUAUCAGGAAGGGAGAGAUAAAGGGGAGAGAAAAGAUGUGAUAGCAACAUAAACAGAAGAGUCAGGAGGAGUGGCUGAGUUCAGGGAGAUGCUGAGCUCAGUUUGAGGCACUUUAUUCUCUCCUGCCCCUCUUCCUCCAGCUGAGAUUUCAGCUUUGUCUUGAGAGUUAAUCGUGUGCCACCAUCAAAAAUAUUGUCUUUCUUGCUCUGAUUAUUCCAGGAGGAGCAAGAAAACAUGGUAAUUACCACUUUGUAAUUUCCUCUCCGUAAAAGCUAAGUCUUCUUCCAAAUGAACACAAUAUUUCAUUGACAUAGAAAAGAAUGAAAACAAUCUUCUCUUGAAAACAAGAAUAAACAAAGCACUCACAGCAAUCAAUCACUUCCAGGUUGCCAAAGGAGAAAAUGGUUAGGUAAUCACUGGCCUAGGAAUAGGGUGAUCAACCCUCCUUGGCUGCCUGGAACUUCCAUGGUUUUAGCACUGCAAGUCCUGCACCUUGGAAUCCCUCAGUGGUAUUAGAUUUGGAUUCUAAUCCUGAUUCUAUUGCUGAUUCACUGUGAAAACAGAUACGUCUAUUCUGAGCAUAGUUCCCUCAUCUACAGAAUGAGGGGAAAGGGCUUCUUUAUAUUCUCUCCCGUGAUGAGCUCUUGCAGUCCCACGAAUCAUGUAUUGCCAAUGACUGCUGAGAGACCACCUGCUCUCAUCCCUAAGCUACAGACUUGAAUUUCCAACUGCCUACUCGACAUCUCCACCCAAAUGCCCAAUAAACAUUAAACACUUUCAUGCCCAAACAGAAUUCUUUUUUGUUUGUUUUUUGAGAUAGGGUCUCACUCUGUCACCUAAGUUGGAGUGCAGUGUCAUGAUCAUGGCUCACUGCAGCCUCAAAUUCCUGGGCUCAGGUGAUCCUCCUACCUCAGCCUCUCAAGUAGCUGGGACUAUAGGUGCAUGCCACCACACCCAGCUAAUUUUUCCUUUUCUGUUUUUUGUAGAGACAGGGUUUCACCAUGUUGCCCAGGCUGGUCUCGAGGCAUCUGCCUCGGCCUCCCAAAGUGUUGGGAUUAUAGGCAUGAGCCACUGUGCCUAGGCCCAAAGAGAACUGUUGAUUUUCUCUCCCAAACCUAUUCUUCCCCAUACCUUCUAUUUCCCACAAAAUGACAUCAACCAAAUAUCUAGGAAUCCUCUUUGAUUUUCUCAUCUGCUCUCUGUACCAAUUCCAGGCCAAAACAGCAAGUUCUGUCAGUUCAACCUCUAAAAUGUAUCCCAAAUCCAUCUACUUCUGCUAACAGUAGUCAGAGGGAUCCUUUAAAAAUAAAAACUUGGCCGGGCGCCGUGGCUCACGCCUGUAAUCCCAGCACUUUGGGAGGCCAAGGUGGGAGGAUCACCUGAGGCUGGGCAUUCAAGACCAGCCUGGCCAACAUGGAGAAACCCUGUCUCUACUAAAAAUACAAAAUUAGCCGGGUGUGGUGUCGCAUGCCUGUAAUCCCAGCUACUCAGGAGGCUGAGGCAGGAGAAUUGCUUGAACCCAGGAGGCGGAGGUUGUGGAGAGCCGAGAUCACGCCAUUGCACUCCAGCCUGGGCAACAAGACCAGAACUCUGUCUCAAAAAUAAAUAAAUAAAAAUAAAAUAAAUAAAUAAAUAAAUAAAUAAAAACUCUAACUCCCGUUCUUUGUCUUUCGAAGAUCUCAAAUAAAAAACUGUUUUAGAAGCAUCUCUUGUUUAAAGGGAUUUAAUUUAACUUUCUUUGCCCACUCAAUUGAUGUAUUUGAAUAUACAUAUUUACUUGAGUCUUUCCUGGAUCUACAGGGAGUGUUGCUGGCCUUGUCACACUGCUGGGUAUGAGUAUUAUGUCUGCCUGGAGAACAACAUUGUAUAUUUGAUGCUAACUUUUAGGCAGUUUAUCUGUACAAAGGAAAGAUGUGAAAGCCCCAAAUUCACUGCCCUACAACUCCUAACAAAUCACAUCUUUACAUCCAAAAUCAUGUCUCACUUGCCGAUUACCAGUUUGGGGAAAACUACCCGCCAAAGAGUCUGCAAAUGAAAGAUGUCAAGUUUAAAGGGACAUCAUAAAGUUCCUAGAGCCCAAACCAACUAAAGAGAUUUCUUCCUCUACAUUAUCUGGAGUCAGUGCUUCUUCCCAGAACCAACAAGUACAUGCUCCUUAGGAUGGUUUCUUGAAGAUAUUACUUUCCUCACCCCAGGGAUGUCUAAGGUCCAUUUUGUGUUAGACAAGAAGUGCUUAUCUUGAAAACAGGUUCAUUUUGUGGUGGAUGAGAACAAAGUACUUAAAUAAAGGGCCAGCCUUCUGGUACAUUUACCCUUGAGAGCUGAAUUUUCUAUGCCAGGCUUGCUCAUGUCCUGAAAAUUUCAGGGCUGAAUCACAGUUCAACAAUAAUAACCUUGUGUUUACCUUCCUAUGCUAGAGACUGUGCUAAGUGCUUUAUCAAUAUAUCCUUACUAAAUCCUCCCGAUAUCAUGAGAUAUUUUGAGCCUCAUUUUCUAAAUGGGCAAAAGGGAACAUGGGGAACUGAAAUGACUUGCCAAGGUUACAAACCUAGUAGGUGGUGUAGCUGGCAUUCAACCCAGGAAGUCUGACUUAAGGCUGCCUUAUGGAAUUUUUGAGACAUGAAUUCCAUCUGUGAUCUGCUGAGCCAGUGAUUCUCAAACCUGGCUGUACAUCAGGACCAUCUGGGAAAUUUUUAAACAUCUUGAUUCUAGGUUGUACCCCAGACCAGUUAAGCCAGAAUCUCUAGGGGGUGGGACCCAGGCAGCAAUAGUUUUUAAACCUCCUCAGGUGAUUCCAAUGUGCAGCCAUAUUGCCAGUCAGUGUGCUAUACAAUCAUAAUUCUUUCCACCUGUUAUUUUUUAAUUUUAUUAUUUUUUUUUUUGAGGUGGAGUCUCACUGUCUUGCCCAGGCUGGAGUGCAGUGAUGCGAUCUUGGCUCACUGCAACCUCUGCCUCCCAGGUUCAAGCAAUUCUCCUGUCUCAGCCUCCUGAGUAGCUGGGACUACAGGCGCACACCACCAUGCCUGGCUAAUUUUUGUAUUUUUAAUAGAGACAGGGUUUCAUCAUAUUGGUCAGGCUGGUCUUGAACUCCUGACCUCAGGUGAUCCAUCCACCUCGGCUUCCCAAAGUGCUGGGAUUACAGGUGUGAGCCACUGUACCUGGCCUCCACCUGUUAUUUUUUAAAACUAGAAAAUAAUUAUAUUUGUUGCUUUCCACAGGCAAUAGUUAAGAGGCCAAUGAGUACAAGACAUUGUAUACCUCCUAUAUUUGCAUUUCCUUUCUCUUUGGAGACCCAGCUAGCUCAGGCCUUCACUUUCCUAUUCAAGAAGGAAGAGGAAAAAGUGAUUACUAUGGUACCUAGAUAAUGCUUAGAUUUGUAAUAUGUUUUAGAAAAAAAACAAAUUUAUUAGUAUUACCUUCAAAUGAAUUUUAAUAUUGUGGCACAACUGGAAAGACUGCUACUGCUUUAUUACUGUUAAGAAAAAAAAGAAACAAAGCUGAAAUUUUGCAUAAUUGUGUCUAGGGUGCUAUAAUUGAUCCUAGAGAGGCACUGACAACUUGGAAGUGCCAAGAUGUGAUGCUAUACAAAGGGCUGUGAAGUUACUUGCAUAGUGACAAAAAGGAAAUGAAUAUUUAUGGAGCACUUACUCAUGGUUUAACAGACAGAACAUGGGUUUUCAUAGACAGGCAGACAUGGGUUCAAAUCCCAACUCUGCAAUUUGCUAGCUGUGUUUGUUUUGGUUUUGUUUGUUUUUAUUUUUUAAGACAGAGUCUCACUCUGUUGCCCAGGCUGAUGAGCAAUUGCGCCAUCUCAGCUCACCACAACUUCCGACUCCCGGGUUCAAGCGAUUCUUGUGCCUCAGCCUCCCGAGUAGCUGAGAUUACAGCCAUGUGCCACCACGCCUGGCUAAUUUUUGUAUUUUUAGUAAAGACAGGGGUUUCACCAUGUUGUCCAGGCUGGUCUUGAACUCCUGACAUCAGGUGAUCUGCCCUCCUGGGCCUCCCAAAGUGCUGGGAUUACAGGCGUGAGCCACCAUGCCUGGUCGGCCUUGGGCCUUUAAGUCUCCAUUUCCUCAUCUGUAAAGCAGGGGCUGAGAAGCCUUACCUGGCAGGACUGUAUGAUUGAUGAGAUAGUGUGCGAAGCAUCUAGUAUAGUAUCUGACGCAUGGCGAUAAUUAUGAUCAGGUGGCAGACACCAUGUUAUCCACAUUUGUUAUCUCCCUUUAUCUUCACAAUACACCCUCAAAAAGAUGGUAUUAUUUUCACUGAUGGAGGUGAGCCCUGAGAGACUCCACAAUUUGCCCCAAGGCACAGAGCCAUGAAACAUCCAGUUAGGAUUGGUCUUCUGUACCUGAAGCCUGUGAAGGCUGGCUGCCAUACCUUGCUUCACAGGCCAUCCCGUAGCUGAUGUAUUUAUUAGAACAGAGGGAGGGAGUCUCUGGAUAAUGGAAUCAAAUUUAAAAGGCAAACAAAUUUUCAGCUAUCUUCCAAGCACAUGACAAUGUUAUGAAAAAGUCUAUUUGGCUCAGAAAGGGCACUAUCAUUUACCCCUUUUCCUUUUAAGGUGGAGCUCUACCUGGAGAACACCCAUCUAAGAAACUGAAAUUGCAAAGCUCCCUCUGGCUUAAGUACUCCUAGCCUUAGCUCUAUGCUGAGCUAAAAAACAAAACAAAACAAAACAAAACAAAACAAAACAAAAACCUGGGCGAGCCAUUGUCUAAUCACAUCAGAUGCACAUUCCCAAGAGAAUUAAGCAUAAAUUUUUUCUGCUGCUGGUUUUUAUGGUCUCCCGUGGGAGACCAUAACAAUUCAAAUUGUGAGACAUUUUGAAGUAAUUUAAGAAGAAUCAAAUAUUGCUGAAAUAAUUUGGGAGCUCACUGCAAGGGAACUUGGGAAAUAUAGCCAAGCUGGGUUCCUAGGAAGGAAGAGAAUGGGCUUUAGAGAAUAGGUACAAAAUCCCUGCCACACAGGCCAUCCAAGGGGAGGUGUGCAAUGGUCAUUUGGAAAUAUGGCAUAGGAGCUUGGGAUAGAGUGGAAAUAGCAUCUAAAUUGUUGAGGCCAUGGGAUCAGAUGAACUUGUUAAGGAAAACUGGGUAGAGUCUGAAGAGGAAAGGUUGAAAAGGGAACCUUGAGGAAUACCAGAAAUUAAGGGACAGGCAGAGGAAGAGGAAUCGGCAAAGGAGACUGACAAAGAGUAGAAUCAGAAAGAAGGGGGUGACCAAAAGCAGGGUAGCAUUUCCAAAUGCAAAAGUUGACAAAACUUUGAGGAAACCCAUCCUAGGGCUGCCCUAAGAAAAUACCACAGAACAGUGGGCUUUAAAAAUGAAAAUUUAUUUUAACAGAUGCAGAGAGGUCCAGCAGGAUGAGGACUUAGAUGGUGUCAUUGACUUUGGCAAUUAGAGUAUUCGUGACCCUAGAGUGUAGUUUCAGUUGGAGUAGUGGAAUCAGAAGUGAGAUGGUAGAGGCCUGAGAAGGAAAUGCAAAGUGAUGAAGUGGAGCUAUGGAGCAGAGGGCUCACUGACAAUGGAAGACUUUUCUGGCAUCCCAAGCAACUACUGAUUAUGAAAUCUCAAUUAGUCAGUAAAUCUGUACUGGGCACCACAUUUCCUGAAGCGCCAUCUUAACAAUUUUUAGUUGAGUCAGCUAUUGCAAAUAUCUUUCUUCAUCAGGGAGAGUGACAGGCUCACUGUGUGGUGCUCUUAAGUGUGUAUGCAUUUUCCUUCUCGUCCCAGCUCCCACUACUCACAAUGCCCUACAGCAUCCCUUUAUAUCACCUGCCUGUACCCUGAAAGCAUGUAGUUUGUGACUUCUGUUAAGAUAUCUCUUGGGGCUCCUUUCCAAGUAACUUCUUAUAUCUGGGAUAAAUCAGAGAUUCCCUCUGUAGCAAAACAGAACACUUAUUUACUUAUUUAUUGGUCUUAACAUCUUUUAUUGUGGUACAAUAUACAUAAACAGAACAUUUAUAGACCAGUGGCAGUGGGAUGUAUAUCUCAUGCUAGGGAGGAAGUGGAGGACUAUCUACUGGUGGAAACCAAGUUGUGGAAAAGAUGAUGUUUGACUAUGAUAAUAAAAAAGAAAGACAAGAGAAAUGAUGCUGUUUAUAUAGAAGCCUGCAACUACAACAAUGACUCUACCCUGGAGAUUGAUCAAGGAAGCAUCCAGUAAAGGAAUGCAUUAUUAAACCAGCUACAUGCUGGGUAGCUGGAACUUAAUACACCUGGGAAAACUCUAGGAGCUUGCGUAAAAUACGUAUCUCAGCAUUACCCCACCCAAGGUUGAAGGAGCUCUCAUCAGUCAUUGACUGAUUGACAGGUGCUGGGAUGAGGAUAGGAAUGAAUAAGCAUCAAUAGCGCCAAUGCCCUGGCAACUCCUGCCAUGGGAGUGGUGAGAUAAAGACUUCAGGCCACAGACAGCAGGUGCCUCAGUUAGAAGUCAGCAUGGAUGCAGUAAAGGGGUUGAAGGGAAGGUAGAGCCAGUGGUGUCUGCUGUAGUCCUGUGCUCUUUUGUCCUCUGCCAUUCUGAUUCCUUUGAAUCAAGUUCUACAAGUCUGAGUCCUGUCCCACAAAUAUCUGCCUCAUAAAAACGUGCAGAUAUUUUUCUAGGGUACUGUAUUAGAUUGCUAGGGUUGCCAUAACAAAAUAUUGCAGACCGGUGGGCUUGAAAAACAAAAAUUUAUUUUCUCAUAGUCCUAGAGGCUAGAAGUCUGAGGCAAGGUUGGUUUCUUCUGAAGCCUCUCUCCUCGGUUUGUAGGUGAUCAUUUUCUCUUUUGUCUUCAUAUGGUCUUCCCUCUGUGUGUGCCUGUCCUAAUCUCCUAAUCUUAUAAGAACACCGGUCAUAUUGAAUUAUGACCCAUCCAAAUGACCUUAUUUUACCUUACUUACCUCUUGAAAGACACUAUUUACAAAUACAGUCAGUCACAUUCUCAGGUAUUGGGGGUUAGGACUUCAACAUAUGAAUUUGAAUUUGGCGGGGACACAGUUCAGCCCUUGACAGGUAUAUAUUUAAAAAUGGAAUUGUUUGGCCAAAUAAUAUACACAUUUUAAAUUUGAAUAAGUUGGCUAAGUUGACAUUGAAGAGUGGCAGAAUAUGCUUUUCCAGAAUAUGCCAUUUUGGCAUAAGGGUUAUUUUGAGCUAAAAGCACUUUUAAAAAGUGGGUGCAAACAGAACUUUUUUUUUUUUUGAGACAAAGUCUCACUCUGUCACCCAGGCUGGAGGGCAGUGGCACGACCUUGGCUCACUGCAGCCUUGAUCUCCUGGGCUCAAGUGAUACACCUGCCUCAGCCUCUCAAGUAGCUGGGACUACAGGUGCAUACCACCAUGCCUGGCUAAUUUUCUUUCUUUCUUUUUUUUUUUUUUUGUAGAGAUGGGGUCUUGCUAUGUUGCCCAAGCUGGUCUUAAAUUCCUGGCAUCAAGUGAUCCUCCUGCCUCAGCCUCCCAAAGUACUGGGAUUACAGGUAACAGAAAUGGGGAGGUUACCAUGUGUAAGCCACAAUGAGUGGUUGCGACCAUCACAAUCUGGAGACCCUCCCAGCUCCAGCUAAUGCAGACUCAUCAGCUCCAGCCAGAUGUGGCCAAGCAGCCAAGGCCCCAAGGAACUUAAUCAUGCUGCAACUUCUAGCUGCAAGGGAGGCUGGAAAGUGUAAUGUUUGUUCUAAGUGGACAUGUGCUCAACUAAGAAAGAAGGGAAGGAUGGAUACUGGAGUUCUAAAGUAGGAGUCUAUGCCACAGCUGGCUAUUUAUGUGAAAUUCCUAAGUAAGUUUUGACACCAUGACAGCUAAACACAGCAGCUCUGUCACCUGAUUUCAGCAGAGGAGCUUCCAGUGUUGUGAACCCUGCUUAGAGCAGCAAAUGUGAAUGGGAUGCACUUCAGUGUCACAUGGGGCAGCCCGCAAGUCUGGCUGGUGAGGAUCAAAAACAGAUGCAGGUUAGCAGGACUCAGACAGGCAGUGCAAACGGGGGUGUGUUCAGGUACCCUGGGAGGUGGGGGUGGGUUGUGGAAAGCACUGUGAAAGUGGGCCAUGAAUAAAGGGUGAGGGGCUACUCUCUCUUACCUGUACAUCCAAGCUGUGCUCAGGACAUUGGCAGCAACGUGGGAGGUCCCUGGCUUCCCUUACCUUUAGGUCUAAGCAGAUAUUCCAAGGGGUGCAAUUUCUAUUUUCUCUGAAUUAUAAAGUCCCUCUCAGUGUUCUGACCUCUCAUACCAGGUCAAGGUCACUCUCUCUGGAGGGAUAAGUGAGCCUGGACCAGAACCAAAUUCCCUGAGAACUCACUGGCCCUUUCCAAUCACUAUCUUCAUUACCAGCCCUCUUCAAUCCUCUCUCUCUAGCCCCCUCCAAUCACCCCAAUUGUCCUUUUAGACUUGGACUCAGCCCAGCCUGAGGCUCCAUGACAAUUCCCCUCUAAAUGGCCUCAUCUCUCAGUUACACCAGACCUUCUUGCCAUGGUGGCACCAUGUGGUGGCAGGAAAAGAACUGAAUUUGCAGACAGGCUUCCCCCACUUGAAUCUCUGCACCAAAAGUACUAGUUGACUGGACUAUAAAUAUUUCCAUAAGUGUAAAUUGGUGCUAAUAGCAUUCUUCUUACCUACUUCACAAGGCUUUUUGGAGGAUUCACAGGGUUCACUUACGUAAAAUGUCUUCAUUUUUAAAAAAUAGUCUAAAUAGUUCUGCAUACAAAUUUAAGGUUUCAGUAAAGAUUCUCUGUAACUGCCCAUAUAUGUUUAAAAUUAAUGACUUUAUUGACACAAACUUUGCAAUGAAAAGUGUUAUCCUAAUAGGAUAGUAAGGAUUAGUUUCUGUCUCAUACAUACAUGAAAAAGUAGCCAGAUGCAUUUUUAGUCACAUGGUUUAACUUCUGGUUGCUGUCUCCAUGAAAUCCAGAUUGUUCUGGGGAGGGCCAGAUCAUGUGCCCUGCAUUUCCUUCUCCCCUGUAAGUGAGAAAGUGUUUCUAUAUAAAACAGAGACACUUUCUUAAGGUGAUAAAUUCCAAACAACAUGCAGCAGUGAACUGAUGCAGAAACAAAGCUGUAAAGAGAAGCCACAAAGCACAUCCCCAGGGAGAAAGAGCCCUUGAACUUGCAGGAUCACUGCCAACCUUUGGCAGCUGGGGGCUCCUGCUGAGUAAUGCCAGUGGGGACAUAUGAAUCACAGGUUUUUCUUUUAUCUUAUUAUUAUUAAAAACAUUUUUUAGAACAUAAAGUUCCUAAAAGCCCUUUCUCAAAGAAUCACAAAAUGAUGAAGGUUUAGAAAAACUAUAGUUUCGUGUAUGGUAAAGUCUUGUACAUUGAUUAGAACACCUAGUUUAAGAUACAAACCUACCCUGAAUAUAAAAGUUUCCAUUGCAGAGUGAUUUGCAACAAACACUAUACCUUAAGGGUCUAAUUCAGUCUCCUAGUUAUGAAGUCACUGUUAGAUUCAGGAUAGAUAGUCACGACUAACCAGACCCCAAAUCCCUCAACAUCUGCAUAGUACCUGGCACAGGAUGGACAUUUAAUGUUUAGUGAAUAAAUAUACAAUCUGCCAAUGGAAGGAAGGAAGGUAAAAUGACACUACCCACUUGUGUUUGAAGAAUAACAGAGUUAGCAGAUAAGGAGGUUGCGUAUCUGACUUUUGACCUGCAUGUCAGUUCUCUGGACUAUGUUACAUAAACAUAACACCAAUAGGCUGCCUAUUUCUGCUAAACAUGGAAUUUAUUGAUAUAGUUUGGCACAACUUUAGUCCUAUCUUUCCCAAUCCCAGGCAUGUUAACAAUCCUUGAAAAAUCAUGCUACAUUACUUUGGAGGAAAAUACUUCCAGAUGAACAUGUUUCAAGACAUACUAGAAAAUUAUUCCUAUCAAAACAUCCUUUUUCUGUGUCAGCUACCUCAUUUCUAAUGCAGUGCACGUCAAUCUAAUGUCAGUAUGAAUACACAUCAACCAGGUGCUGGCUUUCUAAAGUGAUUCCUUUGCAGAUGCCAAAAUGACAGUCCUGGGUCAGUGUACAGAGAGGCCAAGGGGAAGCCAUGCCUGCUGCCACAUGUCUCUGGAUCAUCUCCCUCUCCUACGCAGUGUUCAGUCUUUGAUUAACAAUUGCAAGUGACCCUGAUAGAGAGGGAAGACAGUCAAGAAGACAAGCAAAGGGAACUGGAAAGCUAUGCAAAAUUGCAAUGUCUAGCUGAGCCCUGAGGGGUAUCCUUAUUUGGAUGCAUUGGCCACAAGCACGGUGACAUUAAGGACUGGAGGCACACAUGGACACCGGAAUAGGAGGACUUUCCAGGCAGAUGAGGAGCAGGUAUGACUGCUUCACAGACACCUCCCAAAGACAUGCCAUGGGCAGUGGGUUGGUGCAUGGGAAACUGGAUCCGAUCUGUCUCAUACCAAGCUAAGGAAACAAGGAUAACAAGGAGUUUUCCUGUACCUUGAUUUUUUUCAAUACGUAGGUUUAGAGUUGGAUGAAAGCCAGCUUUUAAGUGAACCUGGUAAGAUUUUUAAUGACAAUAUAUUUAAAAUGAAAGAAGGAAAGAAUAAGCUUGCCUGAAACAGAAUACACUAUCAUGGGCAGGAGACUUAUAGCACUAAGGUGUGACUCUUUCACCUAGAAAAUGCAUUCCUACUUUUCUGUUUCAUAAACUGACCUGUAGCUUUAACUCACUACUUUUACACCAGACCGUAUUACAGGAGUUGCAAAGAGACAAACUGAACUGCACAUUUGCAGUUUAUUAACAUAUGUAAGCACUGUGCCAAUACAUUUACAUGAUAAGUAGAAGGCUCAGAAGGUCCCAACAAAUCAGGCAGCAGUUUGCUGCCAGGUAAGACAGUCUUGCCAGGGACUCAGUAGCAUUCAGGUCCAGCAAGGGGCAGCGACUUCUUCAAGGUUCUUUGAUGGGAUCCAGUGCCGUGAAGGACACUGAAGAAGUCCAUCUGCCCUUCUGCUUGGACUCUCUGCUAGUUGACACAGUUCUUUGUGAUUCUUCGACUUCUGUCCAUCUGUUGGAUGCUAUCUGUUACAUUAAUGGUGACUUCUUUUGCAGACAUUCUCUUAGCAUCUCUUUUAGCCUGUUAAGUUGAAAACAGUGAAUUGAGUUACUAGGAAAUGUAAACCAAAGAAAAUGACCGAGGCAAGUCUCAAUCAAUUUAGAGGUUUAUUGUGCCAUAGUUGAGAAUGUGCCUGGGAAAAAGGAACACAAAUCACAGGAACAUUUGUGAUCUGUGCAAAAAUUCCCAAAGAGGGUUUGAGGACUUCACUAUUUAAGGAGGAAAGAGUGGGCAGUAAGGGAAAGAGGAAAGGAAAAGGGAGGGUAGAGAAAAGGGGCAAACAGUUACAUUCUUUUGAGGCUUUGAUGAGCAUUCACUGAAUCCACAUUUUAUGUGUGAAAGGAGGGGAUAGAGGAACAGUCAAAUAUGCAUUUGUCUCAUGCUCAAUGAACUUGCAUUUUUUACAUAAGAUAAAAGAAACAUAUAGAAUAGUUAAUGAGUAAAAUAUGCAUUUGUCUCAAGUGAGCAGAGGGAUGACUCCUAGUCCUGUCUUUGUCCCAUACCUGUGAAGAUAAGCUGUUAAUUUACAUGGGGUGAAAUCCAACAGAACUCUGUUUUAGGGUAAAGAUCUUAGGGCCCACAAGGAAUUUCUUUGUGAGAAAUUGUGAGGGAGUCCCCCUGGAAGGUAUGUGGCCUUCUAUCUUUGCAGUUAUCUGUUUAGGAACAAAAUGGAAGGCAGUUUUGGGUGGCUUAGCUCCUAACCUUAACUUUUCCCUUUCCAUAGUGAGUUUGGGGUCCUGAGAUUUUUAUUUUCCUUUCACAGAAAUAUGCGAAGGUCCUCACAAUUUGCAGUAAUCUCUCGAGAUUAUCACAAAUACACACACACACAUACACGCACACACACGGUCAGGAAGAAUGACCCACAAGAACGCAUGCACAUAUGCUUCCUAUCAGAGGUUUCUUUGUUGAAUCUUUAAUACCAACACAGCACAGAGCCUGGAAUAGGGCAUGUUUAUUAAAACACUGUUGAGUGAAUGAGCUAUGGUCCAUCAAAGGGUAAUGUGAAAGUUUUCAUAGUUGGCUUUAGUAGAGUGGUUAACUGUUUGAGCUUUGGAGUCAGAGAGACUUUGGUUCAAAUACUGGCUAUAUGAUUUCACUAUGGGCAAGUUUUUCCAACUCUCUAACCCUUAUCUGUAAAAUGGGGAAUAAUAAUAUUAUCUCUCUCAUAAGGUUUUUGUAUGGAUUAAAUAAGGUAAUGCAUGUAAGGUACUUAGUACAAUGACUGUCACUAAAUGAAAAUGGGAAAAAAUAAGCUUAAAAAGUAGGAUAGACUAUCUACUUCUAACUAAGGAUAAACCAAUGACAAAAAUUCUGAAUUAAUAUUAAACAUUAAAGCAUUAAUUAAAUUGUAGGUUCUUUAAGUAUAUGUGUCCAGUCCCUGACUCUCCAUCCCCCAAAAGAGAAAACAACAUUGGUGAGGGGCAGUGUUGUGCCUAUUCUUGUGAUUGUGUGCUGGGGGUGAACACGAGUGGGCCUGUGAGUCACCUCCACUAGUGGAUGGACACAGUUAUUUGCUGCCCAGCCCCAUUCCAGAAAGGACCUGCUGCCUCGCUGCAGGGAGAACAGUCAGCAAGUAGCCUCCAGCUGGGGACAGCAUCAGCUGCAGAGAGCCACCUCACUCAAGUUUGUGCCCUUCCCAAGAUGGGCCAAUGUGCAGGUGUUGGCCUCAAGGGCACUUCCUAACAUCCUGUAUAAUGACAUCUUGGUCUGCCUCCUGGGAACAUAGUCUGCCUCAGAUCCUGUGGGAACACCCCUCCAGGCAUGAGCACCUCCUUGUGCUGGGUGUUGAGAGAUGCACAUUUUUCAAACAACAUGACCCCUGAACACAAACUACUUCCUCUGUAGUGCAUCCAAAUAAAUGGUGAACUAUUGCACUGAUGGAGAAAAAUCCAUUGUUGUUGUAUUUAUUAGCAAACGAUAUGUAUGUUUCUAAUAUGUCACAUAAAUCCUGUGUCCUUGUGUAGCUGAUGGCGACACCCCUCUCUAGAUCCCCUUUACUCUGCCAGAGCAUCCCUCCCAGCUGCUGUGACUGUUGGCUGCUAACUGCUCACAGCACACCCUUCUUUUGAGAAUUGCCCUCAUCUGAUUGGAACCACCUCCUCCAGGAAUGCCAAACAGGCCCAUAUCCUGGAUAGGCCCAUAUCCCAUGCCUGAUUGUUAGGAUAAAAAAGGCUGCCCCUUUGCCUCUUGGGGGUACAAAUCCAUGGUGCUUUGCUUGCCCCAGGGCUCCUUGUGGGAUCAGGCUGAGGCUAGACUACAGCUGUUCCCCUGACUGAACUCACACAUUUGCUGAAUCUGAUCCCCUGCCCUGCCCUGCUUCCUCCAUUACCAUGCAGGUUUCACCUGAGUGUACUUUUUCAAUUACUUGCAUGAGAAUUACUUGCAUCCUUUCAAUUACUUACAUCCUUAUCUCAGGUUCUGCGUUUAGGGAACCUAACCAAAGAUCAUACUUUAUGGGUGAUUUGAGGAACAUUUAAGGAUAAUUUUGACUCUACAUAAUUUUAGUCUUAUCUAUUUAUUUCAUGAGAUAGGAUGUCAUUGCUUUCCUCUGUGUGUUCCCAGUGCCUAGCACAGUUCUGAGACAUCAUAAGCUCUCAGUUUAACUUUGUUUGAAUAAGUGAAUGAAUGAAUGAAUAAAUGCACCACACUUGUCAGUGUACCCUUGCUUUAACAACCAGUAGGCAAUACUAUUUAGGGCUCAGUCUUACACUCAGGUUUUCUGAGCCUGAACUGGCACUAGGGCUAGCAAAGACUUUUAUGGGCUUAUUUUUCCCCAAAAGCAGAGAACUGAUAAAAUCACACGACCUUGAAACUAAGCAUCUCUUGUUAUUUGUCUUUAACUCCUCCUGUCCUUUAAAACAUUCUUUCUAAGAGUAGUGAGGACUAAGCUCUGAUUUUUUUUAAUCUUGCCCAACUCCUAUCUAAGGGGUCUGAGGAGUCAUGCCCUACAAACCAUAAAUUCUCAUCAGAUGGGUUUUAUUUAACCCUGUAUAUCGUGACUUACUUUGCAAUCUGACUCUGGCAUAACAAGGAAGAAAAUAAAAAUAUUUUACCCCAAAACAUUUUUCUGCCAUAUUUUGAAAUGGCCCUGCAAAGCCAUCCCUUGUGGGAAAAAUCCACAUUCUAUAGAGAAUCCCCUUUCCCCCUCCUUUUUUUUCCUUCCUUCCUUUCCAGAUCCAGGUGAUAGUCAACUAAGAGCUAGGUGCCCUUUUAGGUCAGAUAAGAAACAUUUUACAACCUGCUCUCCCUGAAGUCGGCUGAGAGCUUCCUCUGCACAACAAAACUUGGUCUCCACAAUCCUUUACCUUAACCUGAACAUUUAUUUUCUAUUGAUCCUAGGUCUUCAGAUAAACGCAACCAAUUGUCUACCAGAAAAUAUUUAAAUUUACCUAUAGCCUGGAAGCCCCUGCCCCCCACCCGCCCACUCUGCUUUGAGUUGUCCUGCCUUUCUGAGCCAAACCAAUGUAUUUCUUAAAUGUAUUUGAUUGAUGUCUCAUGCCUCCCUAAAAUAUAUAAAACCAAGCGCUGUGCCCCGCCCACCUUGGGCACAUGUUCUCGGGACCUCCUGAGGGUGUGUCACGGGCCAUGGUCACUCAUAUUUGGCUCAGAAUAAAUCUCUUCAAAUAUUUUACAGAGUUUGACUCUUUUCAUCAACAGUAGUUACUUCAUUUUCUGAGUUCACAUUGGACUGCCCCAUGCCUGCUAAACACACACACACACAGACGCACGCAGAAGCACAUGCACAUAUGUACACACGCACAAAGCAUUGUGAAGGAAAAGAAGGCAGUGAUUCUGUUUCCUAAAGAAAACCGUGGUGAUUAUGAGACCAAUUCCAUCUGACUUCCAUUCCGGGUGUCACUAAAUAGCUUUGAGGACUGGGGCAUGGAAUAGAAUGCAGAGGCCUUCUUUAAAGUGAGCUAAAUUGACUGUGGCAUUCCCCUCAAAUUGGUGGGAGGUAAGAGGGUUUUCCAGAAUGGAAAUGGAAAUGUUCCAAACUGCAGAAGUGCUUUUCUGUAGAAAAGACUGUUGGUAAGAUUUCACAAAUGUUUAUUAAAGAUGAUACACAGAUGAUACAAAGCUCUUUAUUUCAGUCUGUACUUCUAAGCUUAAAAAUCUAAGCAAAAAAUCCAGUAGUUGGAUUUCCAAGCCUAUUUAAGAGGCUACAAAGUAGUCAUUCCUAUAACAGCCACAGAUACAUAUAUAAUUGUAAUCCCAAUUACAAUAGGGUCAUUUCUUAAAUCUGUAUAUCAUAAGCCUGCACAAUAGAAAUAUUCAGAGCACAAACUUUGGGGCCAGAUAGAUCUGGACAUGGAGCAAGCCUUUGCUACCAGUUAGCUGCAACAAGACAUGUUGCUUUGACAUUUGACUCUCAGUUCUAUUAUCUGAAAAAUGAAGGAAAUAAUGCCUGCUCUUUACUUUUCUUUGAGAGAAUUAAGUAUGUCACAUAACAUUGAGAGGGUUACCAACUUCUCCUAGUUUAUCCUGGUUUAUCCAGGGCUGAUAAGUUUUGUUUGUUUGUUUUGUUUUGUUUUGAGACAGUCUCUCUCUGUCGCCAGGCUGGAGUGCAGUGGCUCAAUCUUUGCUCACUGCAACCUCCACCUCCCAGGUUCAAGAGAUUCUCUUGUCUCAGCCUCCGGAGUAGCUGGGACUACAGGCGUGCACCACGCCUAGCUAAUUUUUGUAUUUUUAGUAGAGACGGGAUUUCACCAUGUUGGCCAGGAUGGUCUUGAUCUCCUGACCUUGUGAUCUGCCUGCCUCAGCCUCCCAAAGUGCUGGAAUUACAGGCGUGAGCCAGCCACCAUGCCCGGCCCGCCAAAAAGUUUUAAAACUAAAGGUCCCACAUCCCAGAAACCUACUCAGGCCCCAGCAAACCAGGACGGUUAGUCAUCUCAAUUAUAGCUAUUAACAUUAAUUUUAUUUGUAAAAAGAUGAUGUCAGUCAAACAGCAAAUUAAAAUAUAAAGCCUCAUUAUACUGAAACGAUGACUACUGCUACUACUACUUCUAAAUGGCAACAACAAUAACUCUAAAAGUCGUGCUUCCAGAUAAAGGACAAACUAGAGUUCUGUAACUCCCAUGAUAUGGGCUCAAAAAGUUCCAAGCCAUAAACAAAUCCACUUUCAAAUAAUGACACUGUAUUUAAGUUAGCAAAUUAAAUAAUUAGAACAACAAUGCAUUUUCUCAGAAAUGUUUUAUGAAAGAGAAGCUUUUGAAUCUGAGACAUCGCCGGAAAAGUACCCAACCAAAAGCAGCCGUGAGGAUGUUUAAGAGGUUGGUAGUUGUUGCAAUUGAGGACUAAAUUCUGAUUUUUUUUAUCUUGCCCAAAUUCCUAUCUAAGGGGCCUGGGGAGUCACAAUCUACAAACCAUAAAUUGUCAUCAGAUAGGUUUUGUUCGACCCUGUAUAUUGUGUUUUACUUUCCAGUCUGACUCUGGCAUAACAAGGAAGAAAAUCAAAAUGUUUUACCCCAAAAUAUAUUUUCUUGACAUAUCUUGAAAUUGCCCCACAGAGUCUCUUGUGGGAAAAAUCCACAUUCUAUAGAGAAUCCUUUUUCCCCUGUUUUCCUUCCUUCCUUCCCAGAUCCAGGAGAUAAUCAAUUAAGAGCCAGCCACCCCUAUAAGUCUGUAAAAAAUUUACAACCUGCUCUCUUUAUAGUCUACCAUCUAAGAGCUUCCUCUACACAAUAAAACUUGGUCUCCACAAUCCUUUUUCUUAACCUGAACAUUCCUUUCUGCAGAUCCCAGGUCUGUAGACAAACUCAACCAGAAAAUGUUUAAAUUUACCUAUAGCCUGGAAGCCCCCCACCCGCCACCUGCCCACUUUGCUUUGAGUUGUCCCGCCUUUUUAAACCAAACCAAUGUGUUUCUUAAAUGUAUUUGACUGAUGUCUCACGCCUCCCUAAAAUAUAUAAAACCAAGCUGUGCCCCAACCACCUUGGGCACAUAUUCUCAGGAUCUCCUGAGGGCUGUGUCAUGAGCCAUGGUCACUCAUAUUUGGUUCAGAAUAAAUCUCUUCAAAUAUUUUAGAGUUUGACUCUUUUCAUCAACACAAUCUAGUUACAUCUCAAAAACCUUAGAUUUCAAGCCCAAACAAGAGAGAGAAAGAAGAUGAGAAAAAGAACCACAAUGCCAGAUAUUUUAUCUAGAAGUUUGGAGAAGUGAGUUGUUUUGCCCUCUGCUGAGAAGAGCAAUAUAAACACAAGAAACAAUCACCAUUUUGUCCCUCAGUGCCUGUGAUGCUUUAUACAACAUAUUUUCCCCUCUGAUGUAGUUUUCAGCCAGCCAAACCUUUUUUAACAUCACGCCCCCAUACCUUUUUAAUGACAGGAAAAGAAAAUGUGUUUCUAUUGCAAUUACUGGCUUAAAAAAAAAAGUAUGGCCCCCAAUUCCAUAAUGAGAGGAGCCUAAUUAGCACCUUUUUCUCGUGCAGCUGCGCCAAUCCUUCCUCUACUUCUAACAUUCUUGUUUUGUGAGUUUUAUCACCAUUGACUCUUGUUAAUGGGCCACCUCUGGCUUCUCACCUAGUUUUACAGCUUUUCAACUCUUUCCUUACUUCAUUUUAAUUUCUGCAGCUUUAGUACCCCAUGAAUCAUAGAUUUUAGUCUUCUUGAUACUGCCUCUUUAAUUAAAAGUAGCCUGCCAUUUCUCAAGGGUAACCACAUUGACCGUGAUAACCUCUUGGCAGUCUCUGACCCAGAUGGACUUGUUUAUCUUGGGGUUCAGAUGUCAAUAAUCAGCCCAUUUCCUGUGGAGGCUGGGACAGCUGGGCUGCUCCUGGAGACCUGGAUUCAAGACUGCAGACACCUUUGUUCAGCCUUUUCUCACUUUCCCCCCAAAUGGAAAUAGAGAUGUUCUCAGCUUUGCUUGAACUCCACAAAUAUAUCUGUACCUAACAUGGGAUUAUACAAACCUUUUCAUAGUUCUUCGCAUACAACAAAGAAAAACACGGCUUCUGAGAUUAUGAUGUGUGAGACACCAAUUUUUCUGUAUAAGUAGUAUUUUUAAUUAUAAAAGGAAGACAUAAUUAUGGCAAAAAGAAAUUCAAAGAGUAGAGAAGGUCUUCUAGUGCCUUCCCCAGAGAUAAUUAUGGCUAAUAUUUUCUUAUGGAAUGUUGCAGGGAUUUUCUAGGCAUAUAGAAGCAUAGGGCUCUGUUAUUCUCUCUCCCUAUAUUCUUUACUUCCUUCCUGGCCUUUAACCACAGUUUAAAUUAUACAUUUAUUUUUUAACUUCUUUUUUACUUCCUCCUCAUAUUGUAAACUUCAAGACAGUAGGAACCUAGUCUAUUUCAUUCAUUUAUAGUAUUGCCCAGACUCUAAUUUAGUGCCUGUCACAUAAUAGACACUCAAUAAAUAAUUUGACCAUGAACACAUGUGUGAAGACAAAUCUUCAGAAAGAAAAGAAAAAUCCCUGGGAACAGAAACUGUGUGCAUUGCCCUGCCUCAGUGUCCCAGAACUUUCCUACAAGAUUUCAAUUACAUCCAUGAUUAAUCAUUCCUUACCCUAUCCCUGAGAGACAGGUGGGAAUGUUAUUGUAUUCACUUUCCCAAUGAGGCAGCUGAAACCACUCAGGCAAAUGCAAUUAACUCAAGGCCAAUGUCAAUAUGGGUGAUGAGUCAAACUAAAGAUGGUGGCCCCAGGUUUCAUAUCCCACCUCUCACAACUCUGCCAAAGCUCACUCUAAAUUCUCCACCAUUAAGUUUCAGAUAAUGGGAAGGAAGAACUUGGGGCUUAGAUGGAGACAGACCUGAGUUUGAAUUUGAACACAGCCAAAUCAUGACUCCUUGGGCCAUGUUGACCGAUAUCUAGUUUCUGAGCCUCUGUUUUCCCAGGUAGGAAAUGAUGCUGCUUACCUUUUAGAGUUGCAAGGGUUAAAAAUGAUGUCAUAGUGUGUCUGGCAUGUUGUAGACACUUCAAAAUAUUAGUUUUAUCCUCUCUUCCUUCCCAAAAGAUUAAAGACGAGAGCUUUGGCAGCUGCAACUCCAGAUGUUUGACUUCUUUUCAGACAGGUCUCAUGAAAGGAAGAUACACAAUAACACACCCUAAUUGUUCUCAAAUUCUGUGAAUGUGUUUGCUGCUGCUUUGUGAAUUUGUACGGCAUUAAUGCAAGGUCAGUCAGGGGAUAUUUGAUCUUAGCAACUCCACCAAGGGCCAGCUGCUAGCCUCGGAACGCAGGGGUCAGACUAUGCUGCAGGUAAAACUCUUAAGAUUCCUCCAAGCCUGGAGCACAUUCUGUGCAGACCGCAGCCCCCUUCCCCAUCUACACUUAGACUUACUCACCCUGGGAGUUUGUAUCGAGUGCCAAAAGGAAUUGUUGCUUUUCAACUUGAACUUCAGAUAGAAGAUCAGACAUUAGGAAGGCAGCAGAACCUGCUUUAGAAAAGCAACUGGGCAGCCACAGAACAGUCAUCACAGGAUAGUGGUGCAGAGCUGGGAUGGGUGGGGUUGAAGCUAUGGGAACCUUUUCUAAUCUGAGUGAUGACUAGGCUGUCUCAGUUAAUCAACACGUAGGUAGUGAGUACCUGUUAGGUUCAUAACCCUAAAGUAGGCUCAGAAGUCAAGGGAAGAAUAUAAAGAAAAAUAAGGCAGUCUCUGCCCUGAGAGCCUUCCAGUUGAACUGGUUUGACUGCAGACCCUUACAUGAAUACCGAGUCUUACAAAUCUCUACAAGAGGUAGCAGCCAGUAGUAAGUAGGUGCACAUCUCUGUAUUGCUAAAUUCCUUCCUUUUUCCCCAGGCUUGCACUAGAAAGGACACCAAAGUGCCCUUCUAAUAGCUUCCCCUCUCUUUGGUUUUCCCAGAGGUUUCUGUUGUUCGCUCCCUCCUUUUAAUGUCCUGUUUUUGUUUUUCUGGGAGAGACUCAUAUUUACUUUCCAAACUCUCCCUUGAUAUGUCUCAUAUUAGUGUUAUCCAGGAGAAAUCCUGGGCUGGUCCUAACCUCCUGUCUUGAUCAGGUCUCCUAUCUCUGUGGACCUUCACCUGUCUUUCCCAGACUGGGCCAGGCCUUGCCAAUGAUGUUGACCAGACACUGGGGGAGGGGGCAGGAGGAGGAGGAGGAGAAAACUCCUUAGCUGAGAAUCAGUCCCCAUGCUAGUUCCUUUAGCACGGUCCAGUCACUUUGUCAAGAAUAAUAAAGCAACUUGAAAAUAUGCAGCUUCUGAAGACAGGAGAGUUCCCUGGAAGGCCAGCCACAUGUCAGAGCCUUUUCUACUUGAGCUAUGGCCACAUAUACAUUUUUACUGUAGCUGAAUACUUGAGGAGGUAUUUUAAGGGGUGGGGGGGAAUAAGAGUCCUAAGCCUAAGGAAAUGGCACAUUCAGGUUAGAGAGUAAAUGUUUGGAGGCAGCCCAAAGUUCCUGAACAACUAAUUAGUGGGAGAAGACAAGCAACUACAGCGCUGCCUCUCGUGUUGUUUGUUGAGCUCAGGUAGGCAGUAGGAUGAAGGAGACCAAGCCAAUGAUUUAUCAGACACUGUGGAGUCAGUAAGGCCCCAAAUGACUGGGGAAAUCAAGGUGCAAUAAAGAAAGAGAAAGAGCUCCCCACCGAGACAGUCAGUUCCAAUUUAUGAAAGAUCAUUUUUGCCACAAUCUUCUUGCCAGUUAACACCUAUUAACACCAGGCAUAAGGCGGGGGGAUUGGAGGGAAUUGACAAAAAGGAAGAUAUGGUUUGUUUGAUGGGACAUGAAGUGGAGAAGGGCUCCAAACACAAGGUGCUGUUGCUCACAGCCAUAAGCAACAUUAGUUGCCCCAUCACCCUUUGGAAAGCAGUUUAAACGUGAGGUGGCAUCUGCAUUAAAUAGAGUAGCUGCUACCCCUGACUAGUGACCUUCUACUUCCUUCAUAGCACCAUUCAGAGUCUAUAAAUGCUUUAUUUAUUCUAUAUUAUUUGGCUCCCAACCCACCUCCAUUAAAACUAGCAGCUGCUUCAGAGCAAAAGCCAUGUCUGUCUUUUCUACCCCUGGAUCCUUGGCACUAGAACAGUGCCUGGCACCUAGACAGCACUCAAUGAACAUUUGAUGAAUGAAUCUUAAGAGUAGUUAUAGGAACUGAUGAAAAAAUUUUCCAGGCCUCACAAGGAUUGCCUUUCACAUACAAAUUUGUUUUGUAAAUCUGAAUGGCAGCACUGCAGUAGGCCUGUGGAUGAGGACACAUGCUUCAUGAAAGGGAUCUUCUAGAGAAGGAAAGCUUUAAAAAAAAAUGCCAAAGAACCACCAACCAGGUGGCCUGAUGGUGCCUAAGGGGAGCGCGGUGAAAUGCUAGUAGCUCAUAUAGGGGUGCAAUGGAAGACUGGAAGAGGCAAGUGGAUACUGACUGAGCCAGAUACUGAAAAUGCACAAAGCUUUGACCCAGAGUCUAAGAGACACACUAGGAAAAAAAAUAGUAUAUCAAAGGCCCAGGAGGGAAUAGGAAGAAAAGUAUUUUCUUUGGGCAAAUAGUAGGCAGUUGAGAGCCUGCCUGAGUGUUGGUAUGAGGUAGCUCUGCUGACAGAAGCAUCAAUCACAGGUAAACUUAGCUUCUAAACUAACAUCUUAGACAGAAAACCUUUGCGUUGGCCUUUGAGGGACUCAGAAUGGCCAGUGACUGGUGAGGUAUCAGGAUGUAAAGACCACUGAUUAUCUUUUAAAUAUAAACCGUUAAAACUAAAGUUAUUAGCUCCCUGAUCUUAUUUUGAAAACAGUUACAACACAGCUAUGUUCAUUUAAUUAUGAAAACAAAAGCUGCACAGGCUGCUCAUUGAUAUGCAUCAUCUGCCCAGGGGUGCUGCGUUGGGCAGGUGUGUGUGGUCAUCACUCCCCUGUGACAGUUUCCACUGCUGCUGAAGCCCUAUGGGGGCUGACUCUGCCCGCCCCAUUUUAAAGCCCCAUGAGCUCCCAAAGUGUGUGGGGUGUGUGUGUAUGUGCGGCAUGGGGGCAUGCUUUCCCUAGCUAUAUCUGAGUCUCAAUUCCCAUCUGUAAAUUGGAGACAACAAUGUCAACAUUUUAGAGUUAUUGUGAGGAUUAAGAGAUAAUAUAACAAAGUGCUUUGCACCCUAUGUCAUACCUAGACCACAUAUGAAUAAAUAGUUGGUAGUGGCCGGGUGCAAUGGCUCACGCCUAUAAUCCUAGCACUUUGGUAGGCUGAGGCAGAAGGAUUGCUUGAGCUCAGGAGUUUGAGACCAGCCUGGGCAACACAGUGAGAUCUCCUCUCUGCAAAUAAUUAACAAAUUGGCUGGGCAUGGUGGUGCAUGCCUAUGGUCCCAGUUAGUUGGGAGGCUGUGCUUGAGCCCAGGCAUUGGAGGCUGCAGAGGGCAGUGACCGAACCACUGCACUCCAGCCUGGGUGAUAGAGUGAGACCCCAUCUAUAAAUAAAUAGAUAAAUACAUAAAUAAAUUAAUUAAUUAGUUGCUACCACAAGGAAGACAGACUAAGCACAACUUAACUGAUUUUUAAUUCUUUUGUUCCAUAACUGGAACUCAACCACUGCUAGUUAGAGUAUAAAGCAGCAUAACCACUUUGGAAAACUAUUUGUCAAUGUCUAUGAAAGUCAAAUAUACCCCUGUCCUAUGACCCAGCAAUUCCACUCCUAGGUAUAUUCCCAAAAGAAGUGCUGUCCACCAAACCAUGCACACAAACAUUAAAAGCUGUAUUGUUCACAGUAGCCCCAAACUGGAAACAACCCAAAUGUUUAUCAAGUAAAAUGGGUAAAUUGCAGUGUAUUCAUAUAAGGAAGUAUACAUAACGAUGAAAAUGAGAAAAUUAUUGCAACUCAGAACAAUAUGGGUGAUUUUCACAAGGAUAAUGUUGAGCAAAAGAAGCCAGACAUGAAAAAGCUCACACUUGUAUGAUUCUAUUCAUAAAAGUCUCAAACCAAACUGAUCUAUAAUACUAGGAGUGAGAAGAAUGGUGACAUUGUGGAUUUCUGGGCUGGUGAUAAUGUUCUAUGUCUUCAUCUGCGUGAUGGUUACAUGGAUGUGCCACCUUAUAAGAAUUCAUUGAAGUUAUGAGUUGCAUUUCUUUGUGUAUGUAUGUGGUAUGUGGUAGCCUGCAUUAUUGCUCCUAAUUCUUUGCUCUCUCUCCACUUUGGACAGAGUAUGUUUCCCUGCUUAAAGUUGGGCUUGUCCAUUUAACUUGCUUUGGCCAAUGGGAUAUUAGUCAGUAUGAUGUGAGCAGAGACACGAAAUGUGUUCAAGUAGUUUGGUUUUGCCCCCUUGGGUUUCUGCCAUAGUCAUAAGAAUAUACCCCAGAAAGCUGCUGCUUUCUUGGCCUGGUUUCCAGAAUAAUAUAUAUGGAACAGACUGAGCCAGCCCUGGAAAAGUCAGACUGAGCCUUUUUAAGUUACAGCUGACCAUGGUGGCAGUGGUGGGGGUGGGGGGAGGUGUUGUCUCAAGCAACUGAAUGUUGCUGUGUUUUGUUAUGCAGCAUUAUUGAGGCAACAACUGACUAAUACACUAUUCAUUUUUAAAAUGUACUUGAAGCUCUUAUGUUCUAUCUUCUUAAUAGAAACCUUUUCUGAUUUAAAGCUACCAACAUCCUUCUACAACACUUAUAUGGCCUUAUUCAUGUAACUCAAUCAAAUGAACCUCAGUUUCCUUGUCUAUAAAAUGGGGAUAAUGCUUACUUCACAAUGCUCUUAGGGGAACUUAAGGAGCCAGUAGACUUAAAAGCACUUUGUAAACUGCAAAACAUAAUUUUAAAGUGAUGGAUGAGGGGGGCAGGAAAUGAGGUGGGGAAACAAGUGUAUGGAUCAUGCCAUCCACCAGGCAAAGCUGCUUCCUCUUGACCACGGCUCAUCCUGGCUCAGAGGGUAAGGGCACAAGUGUGGGAAGGAGACUAGAAGACAAAUAUCUGGGCCUGUGGUAGAGCAGUCACCAAGCUUUUGAACGUAGUUCUGUGGGUCCAGACUGUCUUGAGAGAUGGCAAUGAUUAUUAGGUCUCUAGAAGGCCACCUAAUGCACAGGCAAAGUAGACAAUACAGAACUCUAUUAAGGACACCACAACCCUGAAGUCUACACCCCUCAUUACCUUCUCCAGUGUCUGCAGGGCCACCAUUAGUGUUUCAUUUAAGUGGAUUAUGGUGCUGUGUGCCUAACUAUCCCCUGUUAAUCCUUACUGCCAUUCUUAUCUAUAUCCUAGUUUAUAAGAGGAGGCCCAUCUGUUCACUCAUUUUGGUAUUAUUUCCAUUGUGUGGAUAAUGAACGUGAGAUUCUGAGAGAUUAAGUCAUUUCUGAAAGGCCUUUAGUUAAUGAGCUUUAGAGAUGAAUUUGCAACAGGUUUUCUGACCAAAACUUAGAGAGGCAACUCACUGAUAUGAGCAAGAAUUCCAUCAUUAGAUAAUGAGUUGUACUCUCAGAAAACAGGUGGCAUUGGCCCGAGGGGACAGGACAAGUUUUUGGAACUGGGGGCUAACCUGAUUAAGCCUAUCAAACUUAACCUGCAUUGCUUGCUUUUAAUCACUUACUUCUAGUUAAUCUUAAAACCCAUAUAGCUAAAAGUCCCAUAGCUAACCAAUCCACUAGCUUUGUUACAGACUACAUAUCUGACAUAUAGAUCACCACUGUAACAGUUGCUUAAAGUUGUUUUUCAGGAACUUGGGCUUAGCUCUUGUCCAGUUAAAGCCAGUUGAGAUCACUGACCCUUCAACUGGGUUUGUAGAAAUGCCCAAGAGGUGACCUUUUGAAGUCAGAAGGCCAAAACUCUUCCUGAAGAUCAUGCAAACACAGCCAUUUUCUGAACAUGAGUCCUGUGAAGAGCCAUGAACCAUGACUAUGCAAGCACAGACCACUGAUUAUCUCACUUUCCCCCACUGCCAAUCAUUUUUCCCCAUGCCUUAGAUUACCUGGCUUCUUUAUCUCAUAGAUAGCCCUAAACCCUAUCUUUGUGGAGGCAGAUUUGGGAUCUGUUCUUCUGCCUCCUCACUUGGCUGCCUCAUGAAUAAACUUUCUCUUUUGCAAAACCCAUUGUCACAGUGAUCGGUUUGCUGUGCACAGACAGAAUGAACCUGGUUCAGUAUAAUUUUGACAGAAGAGAUAGGAGAAAAUGGGUAUGGAGCCUAGGGUAAGCAGUGGAUUUUGAAGGGGGUGGGGCAUAGGGACGAUAAGGAAGUCAGAAGGAGGAACUGGGUGGAAGAGGAAGAGACUGCAGAUGCCUGAGCCCAGCCUACUAAGAGCGCUCAUUCUGGGCUGCCCCUCCUGUACCCAUAAGAGGAUCUUCCCAACAAUAGCUCUGGGAGAAAAGAAAGGAUACCCGCCACAUCCAGGGACAUCACUGCCCUGCCUCUUCCAACAGUCUGGGGAUGAUGCUGUCACCACAUUCUGCUAUGAGAGCCACCCUUGGGGGCCCUUCCAAUGCCCACCUGGUUGGAGGGCCUGAGUAAAAUGCGAGGCUUGUUUCCAACCACUCUGGUCUUCUCUUUCCUUCCUCUGCCCACUCCCCACCCUGCCAACCCCUGAGACUGGCCAGCUGCCUGGCCUAAGACUGGUUCCUCUAAGCAGCACAGUCCUCACCAUCAACAUAGUGACAGUGGCCACAGAAAACAAGAUCCUUGAAUAAAGCUGUACUUAAGCAAACAUACACAUGGAAACAAAAAGCAGCAACCCUCAAGGCAGGGUUUUGGGGUGGGGUUUGCAGCAAUUUUUACAUGGGUGGGGCAGAGACUUUUUAUUUCCAAGAUGAGCCAUCCCUGGUCCCUCCCUGGACAUAGCUGCUGGGUGGCUCUGCCCUGAAGCAAGCCCUGCCCCCAUUCUCCAGUCCCCAGUUGAUUCUGUGGCUGCAACCCUACCUCUGUGGUCUGAAGGCCAUUCUGUUUCUGGGUCAGAGGGCCUGAGCUGAGGCUCUGUGGAUUUGGGCACUGGGUCUCACAGUUCGUCUUCUUCUCUGGGUUGGGUAUUCCACCUGGGGCUGUAGAUCGGGGCACACCAUUGGAGGGCAGUCCAUCUUCCAGCACGCCUGGGGGAGGUAAGCAGAGGAUGGAACCAGAAGCUUGCACAUGGCAGAUGUUGCAAACAAUCCCAAAAUGGUGGAGAAAAAGAUAGUCAAAAUGAAAAAACAAAAGUUGCCAGAAAUCCCACCAUGCAGAGCUACCCUUUUCUAUAAGAACAUAUAUGCUUUUUACAAAAAGGAGAUUUUAAAACAAUUCUGUAACCUGAAAUUUUUACUUAAUGAUACCUUGAUGACUUUUUUCUAUACCAUUAAAUAUUCUGCCAUGUUAUUUUUCACAUGUCUAUGUCAUCAUUUAUUUACCUAAUCCCCUUUGCUUGGAUAUUUGUUUCCACAUUUUCAUAAUAAAUCCUACUGUGAUGAAACACCUUGUGGUUAAAGUUUUAUUCUAAAUUACUUCCUUGGGAUAAAUUCCUAGAAGUGGGAUUACUGGCUUGAAGGUUAUAUAAAUGUUGGGUUUUUAUUUUGUUUUGUUUUUUAGAGAGACGGUCUCGCUCUGUUGCCUAGGCUGGAGUGUAGUGGCAUGAUCAUAGUUUGCUGCAGUCUCAAACUCCUGGGCUCAAGCGAUCCUCUCACCUCAGCUUUCCAAGUAGCUGGGACUAAAGGCACGUGUCACCAUGCCCAGCUAAUUUUUGUGUAUUUUUUUGUAGAGACAGGGUCUCACUAUGUUGCCCAGGCUGGUCUUGAACUCCUGGCCUUGAGCAAUCCUCCCACCUAAGUCUUCUAAAGUGCUGAGAUUACAGGCAUGAGAUAACAUGCUUGGCCAAUAUAGAGAUUUUUUUUAAUAGCUGCAGCUCAAAGUGUUGGACUGAGUAUGUGUGCCUUUUACAACAAAUGCCAAGAAAUGAUAGAAGUUUAAAUAAAUAGCCUCACUGAAAAGGGAGAGGACUACACUGAGGAGUUAAUAAAGGAUGAACAGAAUCUUAUUGGAAAGAGAAAAAGUGGCCCAGGAAGCAUGACAGGGAAUGCCAAGUAUGAUGUCAGAAGCUGACAGAGUUUCUGCCAUAGUUACAGGGAGGCAAGAAGCAGCAAGGUAGCCCGGACUUUCUACUCUUCCACCUGCUGAGGCCAGUCAGCAACAAUAGAGGAGUCUGUAUGGGGCAGGGACUAGAGAGAAGGGCAGUGCUCUCAGGAGCUGGAGACACCUGCGAGAAAGAAAAACCCAGGUUAAGAAGACUGGUAUUUUGAAAAUAGUGCCAAGAGUUAGGCCAAUAGUAGUUCCCAUCCCUGCUCUCCAAGUGGCUCUCUCAAAUAGAUGCAGAUGACAUUCUAGCAGGAAACUUCAGUUACAAAAAUCAGUACAAAAACAAGAAUGAGCAAACAUUUGAGGAAGGCCAACACCAUAAAAAAGAGGCAACUAACUCUGCAAUGGAGAUCCCCAAAAGAAAUGGAGUUAAUAUGGUAUUCAGAAAAGAAUUUUCAAUAAGUAUAGUCAAUCUGCUCAGAAAAAUGGAGAUAAUAUAACCACAAAAUGAGGACAAGAGUUACCCAAAAAUGUUCAGUCAGAGAUAUUUGAAAUAAUAAUCUUAAAUGUUGAAAGAAAAAACCCUCAAUAGAGAAGCUGAAUAACACGAUAGACAGAAAGAGCAGUUUAGUGAGCUGAAAGGGCAGGCCAAGGAAUUCUCCAUGGUAGCACAGAGGGCUGAACAUUAUUAGGAAAUGCAGGGUAGAAAUCCAGUAAAUUAAGCCUUAAUCUAAUAAGAGUUGUAGAUGAGAGGCUAGAGAAGAUUGAGGGGAAGUAAUAUUCACAGAAAUAAUAAAGAUUUCUUAGAACCAAAGAAAGAUGUGAAACCUCAAUUUGAAGUAGGCUACCAAAUACUUGGCAAGAGAAGCCCAACUUAAGACAGACCUUAGUGAAGUUUCAGAACAUCAAUGAUAUCAAGAACAGCUUCAGAAGAGGAAAAAAAAAUCAAGAGUGAGACUGACAUCAACUUUUCAUUCAUCUUAUGAAAACAUUGUUUCAUAAGAAGACUAUGAAACAAUGUUUUCAAGAUUUCAAAGGAUAUACACAUUUUUAAUUCUUUUGCAAUAUAUUUUCAAAUUUACCUCUACAAGUCUGUCUUCUGUUGACCAUCUGCCAACAGUAUAUAAGACAGCAAUAUUCCCUAAAUCCUGACAAAUACUGAAUAUUUUCUUUUCUGGUUUUCAUCUUUGUCAAUUUAAGAGGAAAAAUAAAGUAUCUCAUCGCUUGGAUUAAUGCUUCUUGAUUUACUAAAGAUGUUAUAUUAUUUAUAUGCUUAAUGACUAAUUGUGUAGGUUUAUAUUUUAAUUGUAAAGUCAUUUGUUUCUCUUUCCUUUGGGGUAUUUGCCUGGGCUUGCUUUUAAUCAAACGUAAAGAAAAACAAACAAAAUCCUUUCCCUGGGUGUUGAGAAAUUAUUUGCCAUGGGGCAGGCAUCAGAAGCGCAGUGUAUUUUUGUAUAUCAAGGGCGGGAGGGUGUUGACUGGCAGAGUUGCUAAGACUGCAGUUCCCACACAGUGAGAUGGCAGUGUCCACAGGACACCUAUCUGUGUGUCACCCACUUGCUGUGCCAAAUGCUAAUGAGCUUUCAACUGUGACCAUGGGAUAGAAAUCAGAAUUCAAAACAUUGAAAGUCACAGUGGAAAGUAUCUGGUCCUGAGCUCCCUGACUGGCAGGCCUCAGCACAUUGGGGUGCUGUGAUGGAUUCAAGGUGAACAGACAAAUGGAUUCCUGCAGCUAGGCUUGUCCCAAAUCCUUGUGGCUUCCUUCCUCCACCAAUUACAGCCUGCCCCUGCUCUUCCCAUUCCCACCUUUUCUCCAUCCUGUACCUAAAGGGGCCUGAGAUGCAUGUGUAUGAACACCACAGUACACAUGUCUCAUCUCUGCCCACUCCUCCCUGCAAACAGCCUGGGGCUAGGGCAGUGUACACCUGCAGAAGAGAUCAGGAAAACAGGCCCAUAAAGACUCUGGAAGCAGGCUUGGUGUGGAUUUGGAUUUGGUGUCAUUCAGACUGGAUUCCAGGGUCCCAGCACCCACAGAAGAGCCUAGAAUAGUGCUACUCAGUGUCCUCCAGGGACCAAACUGUUGUUACUGUCUGCCGUGGGAUACAUAUAAGAACUGAUUGCAAGCAUUUACAAAUUUCUAUAGCAACUUGACAUUGCCAGAACAUCCAAAGGCAGACUUGUCUGGCUGAACUUACUGAUUGAGCAGGGUGCAAACUAAGUUGAGUGCUUUUAAACUCAUGGGGUGAGUCACAAGUGGGGUGAGUUGUGUAUUAAUCACACAAAGACCACAUAUUUGUCUGUGAUGGACUGGGGGAAUAAAAGCAAUGAAUUCUGAAGGAGGGCUGAGGCUUUGGUAGAUACGUCCCCUUGGCCUCUGGAUAACUCAGCCUGUGGGAAGGGUAGGGCUCAUGGGGUGAAAGGGGCAAGGGGUGUCUGAAGCACAAGACCAAGGUAGAGACUCCAUUUCCUAAGCCUAGGGUAGAACUGCCUUCAGCCCUUGGGGCUGCUGAAUGGGAGUCAAGGCUGGCCAGGGCUCCCUUUGCUUGCUGUUUCCCCCAGUGUGCCAUACAGAUGUUGCCUUGUUUUUUUGAGAUGGAGUCUCGCUCUGUUGCCCAGGGUGGGGUGCAGUGGCAUGAUCUCAACUCACUGCUGCCUCUGCCUCCUGGGUUCAAGCAACUGAACUGCCACAGCCUCCUGAGUAGCUGGGACUACAGGCAUGCGCUACCACACCCAGCUAAUUUUUGUAUUUUAAGUGGAGAUGGAGUUUCACUGUGUUGGCUAGGCUGGUCUCAAACUCCUGGCCUCAAAUGAUCCACCCGCCUUGGCCUCCCAAAGUGCUGGGAUUACAGGUGUGAGCCCCCACACCCAGCCUCCAGAUGUUGCCAUUUUCUAUGUGCAUCAUGACUUGGUACCUGGGUCAAAGGUCUGUGAGAGGCCCCUACUGAGCCAUCCACUGAAUGCACCAUGAUGCUGCCAGCCUGGAUGGGGAUGGCCACUCCCUUGUCACACCUGAGACACUUCAAGGGGCACACCUGACCCCAAUCCUCCCUAUGCCUAUGGCCAGGUCCUUCUGGGGGUUGAAGGACAUGAAACACAGCUCCCUUCUCCCUUCUCCCAAUGCAAUCCAGUUGCUGAUCCACGAGGAGGGCAGCAGGGAAGCAAGGAGAGGCCUUACGCACCAGGAUCAAGAGCAGGCAGCAGGGAAUAUAUCCCAGGGAGGCAGAAAGGCAACAGCAAGUGGGGCCAAGUAUGAUUUACAGCUCCAAGCCCAGGGACACGCUCCAUUGUCCAUUGGAUUUACUUAUAAAACACACAUUAAAAGACAAAAUUAUGAAGGAUUUCAUGAUGGUGCCUGCAGAGCAUUAGGUCCUAAGCGCAGGGCCCCUUGUGAGCCCAGCAGGCCCUGUGAGGCUGCACUGGCUGCACAUUCGCGAAGCUAUCCCCGCCAACCCAUAAAACAGACCAAGGCAGAGCUGCCAUAACUGAGGUGCCGAUGGCCAGUCCUUCCCUCUCAGCAGCUCCUCCUAUCCCCGGCAUCUUUGCUAAGCCUAAGCGCUGCUAGAAACACAGUUUAAAAAUCCAUCAUUUGGUCUAGAGUUUUCAUUUUUCAUUGGUGGCCAAACAAAAAUUACAACUUUGGUUUCUUAACCCCCCAGUCUAGACUUCCUCAUCUAUUAAAUGGAGAUAAUACUGCCACCUUCAUGGGGCGAUUGUAAAGAUUAAGUGAGACCAUAUCUAAAGGUUCUAACAAUGCUUGCACACAUAUUGCACUGAUUAUUGGUGGCACAGCCUAUCCCCGCCUCUUGCCCCUCUCCAUUAGCCACACUGGUUGCAUUCCUCAUUUAUGAGUCACACAACCAGCUAAGUGCUAAGCCACUGGCUUACUGAGUAUGAUGAAACAGAGAAGCUCUGUGACAACCAGGGCCAGCUUGGGGGAUUGGCAUUUGCCAAACAAUGAGCAGGGGUCAUCUGCCCAGUGUGGUCAAGAGGACACCCCAAGGGGUUAGGAAUAUAAGAGAUGCCUCCCUUCCUUGAAACUUCUUCACCUUUGCUUCAAGAGCACCACAGAGCAGAUUCUUCAAGGCAGGAAGACCAUCAGUGCCUCAAGAGCAGGACCUCGUGUUAGCCAUCACCUGGCUGUGAGCCCAGCGCAGGGCCUGGCACAUAAUUGGUACCCACAAAGUUUUAAAGACUUCAUAGUGACUGCUUCACAUCCAUUUGGAAGAAGACAGGAUUGAACUGGACACACCCACAUGAACUAGCUAUGUGACUUUAGCCGAGCCAUCUCCACUGGUAUUCCUCAGCUGGGAAACGAGGAGGGUGAAGCCGGCCUAGAAAAUCUCUAAGGAUCCUGUUCUGCUAAAAGUCUGCUAGAAACACAUGGGGAGAUGAAACAAGUACCCACCAGCUCAAACUAACUCAGCAAGUCCAGCAAAGGGGAGGUAGCACAGCAGGAAGACAUGCGAGGGCCCUGCAGCAUUUGCCCUCAGAAAGCAGAAGUCUUCUAUUCACAGUUCUUCCUUCGAACUAUUGAUUCACACUGGGGCAAAAUGAAAAAUUUCCCGGAUCAUGUCAGAGGCAAGGUAAGACUUCAGCCAACCAAGCCUGAGAGGAAACGAACCAGAAGCAGAGUCUGAACCCUUCAUGCAGGUCCCUCCCAUUUCAACUUCUGUGGAGCUAGGACAGCACAGGGCAGAGGUUUCCAAAAGGCGGGUCACAGAGACAAUUUCCCUGGCGCACGGUACAAUGAGAAAAAUGAGAUGGCGUGGUGGGUUAGUGUGGGCGCUAGGGUUGCUCACUCCCUUUCUUAGCAAGAUCGGUGCGUUUCUGUCCCUUCUUCAGGAAGGGCUUCCUUAUAUAUCUAUCCCUCUCCUCUCUCUUUUUUUUUUUCUUAUGGCACUUAGUUCUAACAUUAAUACUAUGUCCUUUCCUUCUUCUUUCUUUUAAAUCUAUUACCCUGCACCUAGGCUUUAAGCAUGAGGGCAAGAAUUUUUGGGUUUUUUUGUCACUAUUAUAUUCUGCAAUGACUAGAACAGUGCCUAGCACAUCAUAAGUGCCAGUACAUACUUGCUGAAUUAAUUUAACAGUGCUUUCUGCAGCGUUUGUGCAUGUGUGUGUGUGCAUGUAUGCGUGAGAGAGCCUUUCUUGUGAAAUGGUAGAAGUAAUAAAUCACAGGUCUUUUUCAUGCCCCCCUAAAUAAAAAGUUAGCACCUUGAUCAGCGUGCACACACACUCACACCUUUUUUUCUUUUAAAUCUUACACAUAUUUUUUUCCUUUUUACUGGCCAGUGAAUUCCAAAAGUCUGGGACUCAGUGGUCUCAAAAAAGGGUUUCAGAGUAAAGCAAAGCUUGGCUUGAGUCUGGCACUUUCAACUGUGUAACUUCGGGCAGCUUCUUUUAUAUCUCGAACCCUCAAUUUCUUCACCUACAAAAUAGGAAUAGUGAUGCUAAACUCAUGAGACUGUUCUACAAAUUAAUUGAGAGGAUACUAUGUAAAGCAGGGACCUGGUCCAGAGUAGAAUUAGUGAUAUAAAUACACAAUACCCCCAGGGUGGCUCUGCUGUGGGCAAGGCAGGACUUCUCCACCCAGGCCUUGUCUCAAAAGCCACCUUGGGGUUUGAGCUCUUUGCUCCAGUGAGACUGCCCACAACUGAGGUCAUGCCCAGACAAAUGCCACCCAAAGGCAGUUUCCUGGCAUUCAGUGGAGUUAUUCUUAAUUCAAUCCUGCUUCAAAUUCAACUCCCUUGCUAUAAAUUUGAACAUGGAAAUCAAAGGUUUUAAGGUACCGCUUCCAAAUUGCUGAAGUAAAGCCUAUUUCCUUGGGGGUGGUGACUUCCAAGAUUCUCCCAAAUUAAUGGAUUUACACAUGAAUUCCUUUCUCCAUUUAACUAGGAAAGAGAGGAAUCAUGUCAGGAACCUCACAGAAGGAUAUCAUUCAGAAAUGAUGAUAAAACAGUUCUGAAAUUACAACAUAAGUAAACAAACACAAAUCAUUUCUGAGCUAUUUGAAUUGCACACAUUUUCAAUCGUUUAUAUUUUUGCUUUCAUGAAAGCACACAAUAUUGCCUUUUGUUGUAUUUCACACUAUUAGAGGAUUGUGUUAAUAAAGGAAAGUAAGUAAACUUGGGGUUGUGUAGAGAUAAAGAAAGUGAAGCAGAGAUGAGGUCUCUGGUGCUUAGCCCUGAGAAAGACAGAGCUGAGUCAAAAUGAGGAGGCCUGAGAAAAAGUUCUCUGGGCUUUCAACUGUUUAGGGCAGGGAGGGCAGAGAGGUGAGUAACUGCAGGGAGUGAGGAAGUUCCGCCACAGGCUGACAGGCUCUGUCCUGGAGUUAUCCUGGGUGCAGAUCAACUGGUAUUAAUUCCAUGCAAUGAAAAUGGAAGGGAAAAGCCCCCUUUAGCAGUGGUUACCAUUUUUUCAAAAUGAUGCCCCAGAAUUUGGGGGACUGUUGUCAGAUUGCUGGCUGCCUUCCAAUAUGAGGCCUUUGCUUUUGCUAUUGUAACAGAAUCUUGGCUUUUAGAUGGUCUGUUGCUGCUCAGCUAAAAGAUGUUCUCCAGCUUCCCUUGCAGCUAGAUGUGGCCAUGUGACAUAGUUCCAACCAUUACUAUGGGAAUGUACACUAUGGCUCUCUAAGAGGAGUUCAGGGUAUGGAGCAUUUCCCAAGCUUAUCGAACCAUGAAGCAUGGCCAAGGUGCCUUCGUGGAGUGAGUCUAAAAAAGUGGCUUUCUCUAUCCUCAGGUCUCUUCCAGAUCCAAACAUCUAUGAAUUACCCUUUGCCUAUGAUCUAUUUCCAAAUGCAUUCAUCCAGGGUUUUCUCUGUUCCUUGCCUGCAUCUUUGCAGUUCACAAGUUGAGCCCAGAAAAUCAGCUAACUGGCAUCCUUGCAGCAGAGUCCCAAGGUCAUGGCUGGAAGAGUAGCAGGCCAUGCUAUGAGUCUGUGAAGGAAGCCCUUCCUGGGGCUUGGCAUGCAGUUUCCUUUGCCAUCAGGCCCCUGGCUGUGCCCGAUGUGCGAAGGUCCAGUCUCACCGUCUCACCACAGUUGCUUCCCAGAAAACACACAAAUGACUUUGUCCUUUAUUCCCAGAACAGACUGGCACUUUUUUUUUUUUUUUUUUUUUUUUUUGGUGCUUUGCCAGAGGGUUCCCUGACAACCACAUUGGAAUUUGUCCAUUUGUCCUUUCCUGUGAGAACUCCAUCUUGAUGGGGGAGGCCGGCAGAAUGGAUUCAGGAUCCCUUUCACAGUCUGAGCAGCUAUCAGCUUCUGGGGUUUGAAUCUUCCAAAAGCUGCUCUGUGUCCUGGCCCUGUAAUUUUCACACUCUGGAUUGUCUAUAGGUGAAGGCCUCCAGUUUCUCUACAAGGACAGCCUUUCUCAUUGUGAGAAUGGGUGUCCUUUCCAUAGCCUCUUGCUCCUUAAUGUGAUAGGUUUUACAGUAAUUUCUUCACGCCCUUUUGGUUCUUAUGUAGACUACAAGUCUGUGGGCAAGGACCAUGACGAAUUUUGCACUCUGCAGAUAACUUUACUCACUUCUGGCACCAGUGUUGCUAGUUACUUAAUAUUCCAAUUCAACUUUGUCAAGGUUUAAGUUGAGUAAUAUUUUCCCUAAUGCUUUUUAAUUUUUUUGAGACAUAGAAUCAUUGAAGUCCAGUUGAUGGAACUUUAAAUAUAAAGUUUGGAAAUCUCUGGCCUUACUGGAUGGUUUUGGCAUGAAUUUCAUAAAAAACUUUUCUUUACCAAGUACCUACUACAUGCCAGACACUUUCCUACAUUUUGGCCAAUUUGCCUGAAAAUGUGACAGUCAGCAAAUUCCUGGGGGGAUCUGAGGAUAUACUAUCAUUCUUCUGUUUCACGGUAAUUGUGAAAAAAAACUAUUAUUAGCAAAUUUAGAAUCAUCCAAAUGAUCUCAACUUAUUAGGAUUCCAUGAUUUGGUGCUGACAUAUGUAUUGUUUUAAAGGCUGAAAUGGCAUCAAUUUCUUCAAUAGUCUUGAAGUGUGAAAAAACGAAGAUAUAAAUGAGAUCUCUAUAUUUCAUGAUGGCAAAAUGGCAUCACGGAUGAAAGCUUCUGAGUCAUUUAAAUACAGAAGAGGGUGAGAGAAUUGAAUCAUCACCCGUGCAGGAGCCCUGUGAUGGAAACAGUGGCAUCCACAUCUGUGUGGCCACACAGUUCCCAUCCUCAGAUGCACCAACUUGCAGUAAGUGCUGUGGAUGGCUAAAGCUGGCGUCACCAUUAAAAUGAAAAAUAACCGUGAUAGUGUUAACAAUUCAAAUGAUGGCCCAUUGUGCCUCAAAAAUCAAAAGGAUCCAGUGGGCAAAAGUGAAAUGGAAAAUAAGCAAAUGUAUCUUUCUACCACUAAAAGCAAUAUUUGUGAUUCAGUUUCCAUAAAACAAAACAUUUGUUAUAUUAGAUGAAUGCUAUUAUUCAGAAUGUCACUGGCUGGUUUGCACCUCUCUCCUUUGUAAAUCAUUAUUUUUUGUUUUAUAAUUGUUUAUAAGCUAUAAGGAGUAACUUUACCUGAUUUAAUAUGCACAUUUUUAAGUAAAUCAUAAUUUUUAAAAAAGCAUUCAAGUUAUCCCCAGGGUCAUUUAAUCCCUACAUCUGUGAAGUUGGCAAUAUUAUCUCCAUUUUACAGGGAAACUGGAGCUUGGAGAUAUAGAGCUCUACCUCAGUGAGUGAAAAACAAGCCAGAGGCUGGGCAUGGUGGCUCAUGUCUGUAAUCCCAGCACUUUGGGAGGCUGAGGCAGGGGGACCACCUGAAGUCAGGAGUUUGAGACCAGCCUGGCCAACAUGGUAGAAACCACGUCUCUACCAAAAAUUAGCCAGGCAUGGUGGUGGGUGCCUGUAAUCCCAGCUACUCGGGAGGCUGAGGCAGGAGAAUUGGCUGAACCCGGGAGGCCGAGGUUGCAGUGAGCUGAGAUCAUGUCACUGUACUGUACUCCAGCCUGGGCAAUAGAGCGAGACUCUGUCUCAAAAAGAAAAAAAAAAAAAAAGCAAGCCAGAAUAGAAUUCAGUCUACCUAAUCCUAAUGACCUUCUAUUGCCUUCCUAAAGCAAAAGAUGCUUUCUUGGAUAGGAUAUCUGGCCUCUGGAUCAUUUUAUCAAGUUGUAAUUCACCAACAACCAUUUCACUGAAAGGCCAAAAAUACUAGCCAAGAGCUAGUCAAAUGUUCUUUUCAUUGAAGAGGGGUAAAAAAAGGACCCAAGGUUCCAAUUUCCCAAACACUUCCCCAUGGAAACAGAAGUAGAUACAGGCAGGGGCAGGAACAGGAGCAGAGCAGAAGCCCAAAGAGAGAGUUUAGGGGACAUAAAACAGCAAAAAUGGAUUUAAAGGAAAGCCCAGUCAUUCACACUUAGAAGAAUUCCUGGACUAACAAUUCCAAGCCAAGGCAGCUGCGGCAACGUUGAGGCAGAAUCAAAACCUGGGGAAAGACCUUAGGUAUUCAGGAACUCAGGAAUGGAAGCCACUAGAUACCUUUGGAAGGCGGAGAGAAAGCAUUUGUGGAAAACUGGCUUCAGAAGCAGUUAGAACCCAAGGACCUCUCCCCAAAAUACCAAAUCUGAAUGAGUGCCCCUCCUUCACCCUGAAAGAAGUUGUUGUUUUGUUUUCUAAUAAAAAACUUCCUGGUGAAACUUUCUGGACAGAGGAUCACUUAGAACAAUUGAGGUCGGGGCUAUUGUGCUGAAAAUAUGAAGCACUGGGACUCCAGGCUUCUUCCCCUACUCAGUCAGGCAUGUGCCCUCCAGGGAGGAAAUUGGGAGAGUCUGCUCAGUGGAAUCUGAUCACUCCCUUUCCCUCAAAAAGGCCUGAAAAUACAGACAUCAAAAGUUCCUGAAAGGAAUGAUCCAGCCAGAUACUCUAUAGUGAAGAUGACAGACCUUAAGCCCCAACGUCAUAAAUGGAGCUUCCAACCAACAUCGGAGUGCCCUCUCCUUAAAUACAAGCCAACAGUUCAGGGCCAGCAGACAUUAGAGGAAAGCCUCCAAACAAGAGAAAGGCCAACAAAAUAGAAGGGGUGGGGAACAUAAACUUGAAUAAACAAACUCUAUAAAGGGAAAAAAACCUAAUUAAUGUUAUAAUCAGAAAGAUAUUGCGUCUAAAAACCUAAGAAUGAGAUGCUAUGAAAAGGAACAUUCAGAGAACAAAAAGAGAGUUCUUAAAAAUUAAAACUGAGGUAGAGGGAAUGAAAAAUUCAAAAGAAAAAUUGGAAGAAAAUAUGGAAGAAAUCUCCAAAAAAGUAGGAUGGAAGAUAGGAGAGGAAAAAUAAGAAAAUUAGAGGACCAGGCUAGGGUGAAAUAUAAUAAUAAUAAUAACUUGAGAAAAUGUUUUCAUAAUUGAAGGCUAUGAGAUUUUUUUUAAAGGCACACAGGGAGAUGGGGGCAGGAGGAACGGACAAAUCUCAUACUAAGGAUUGAGAAUCAGAAUGACAUCAGACUUGUCAACAACACCUUGAAAACCCUAAGGAAAUGUGAUUUUAUACCCUGCCAAACUAUCGAUUAAAUGUAGAAGGCAUAAAAAAUUUUUUGAAAAGUAAAGUUUCAAAAAAAUGUCACCUCUCACAUAGAAAGCUACUUCAGGAUGUUCUUGGCCAAACAAGAGAACAAACCAAGGAAGAGAAAGACACAGAAUACAGGAACUAUGAGAUCAAUUCAACACAGGAGAGAGGCCAAGGAAAUCCUCAGGUUAAUGUCAAAGAAAGAGUCAAGGCCAAGAGGUAUGCAGCCAGCCUGGACAGCAACCAGCCCAGAUUGGAGCAGGUCAGAAAACUCCAAGGGCAAUUAAAAGAAAAAAUUGUGAUAGAAUUCCUAAUUUACUUAAACAUGUUGAAAGGAGAUUUACACAACCAGAGGAGGGUUUGAUGUGAAUUAGUGAUGCAUUCACAUUAAAAAAAAACAAACACACAUUUUUAAUGCAGCAAACAUAAAAUAUUGUCUGUGAAAGGAAAAGUAAUCCUAAUCUGGUUUAGCUGCGAAAAGUGUCAACAAAACACCAACAAAGAACACUGAUCUAACCGAGUUAUGCUACAAUGUAUUGGCAGUGGUAGGAUGGAGGUGAAAGAGUGAAAACCUCACCUUUCAUGAGGGUAAUCAAUAGAUCAGGCCUUAGACCGAAACAUCAAGAAAGAGUAUGACUUGCCAAUUAUUUAGAGACAAGGAAAUGAAACGAGAAUGAGCUUAAAUAGUUGACAGUAGUUACUCCAAGAGAACUGAUAAAGUGGGAUGCAUAACAGGGUUGAUUUUCAUAGCAAGCCUUUUAGAACUAUUUGUCUAAAUUUUAUUCAUGUGGUAUAUAGCCCGGUAGAGCUAGUGGUUACCACAUUGCACAACACAGGUAGAAGGAGAAAUAAAUAAAAAACUAGUUUACACAACUAGUUAAUUAUAAAUGUAAGUGCUCUGAAAGAGAAGUCAGGAACUAUGAAAAAAUAAAACUGGGAAAUGUCACCUAAUCUAAGGGUCAGCUAAGACUUAUCUGAGAUAUUGGCAUCUGUGCUAAAAACAGAAGCUAUAUUUGAUGAAUAUCUUUUAAAAACUUUAAUGUAAUUGGAUCAAGGGACUUUCCUGCUCAAAACCCAUCCAAGGCUUCUCAUUGCUGUUAGGAUGAAGUCCAAGCUCCUCAUUGUGGCCUACAUGCUCCCAUGUGAUCCAGCCUUUCCUGCUCCCAGCACUGCCUCCCCUCACUCAUGGCUUGCAUGAUGCUCCAAUAACAUUGCUAUCCUCCAAUAGCUGGAAAAUGCCAAACUCUUCCUGCCUCAAGGCCUUUGCACAUGCUGUUCCUUUUGCUAGAAAUGUUCCCCAUACCGACUUUUCAUCGUAUCCGACUUCUCUUUUGUAGCACUUGCAACAAUAAUAAUUAAUUGUAUGAGUUCGUUUGCUAUCUACCUCUUCUGCCUGUGCUGUCCAAUAUGGUAGCCGCCAGCUCUACUGGGCUAUGCUAAUUUAAAUUAACAUUAAAUCAUGUGAAAAAUUCAGUUCUUCAGCAGCACUAGCCCCAUUUCCAGUGAUCCAUAGUCAUAAGGCUGUAUUGGACAAUGCAAAGAACAUUGAGUCUCUGGACAGCGCUGCUCUAGACUGCAAACUCCACAAGGACUCCUCCUAGAUCUAGCCUGAAUGCCUAGGACUAUGUCUAGCACUUUGAAAGUGCACCCUACAUAAUUGUUGAAUAAAUAAAUUCAUUCAUUCAUUUAGGGUAAGGCCACUGCCCUGUCUGAAAGGACAUUUAUAUUUGGUUUAUCUUAGUAUCUUAAGCCUUUCAGUAAUGUCUAUUUCUAUAUAAUCCCAAUGGCAAAAUCCACAUCAAAGAAAAUUAAAAUUUAGGUAGCAAAAUAAAUAAAUACUUAUGGGACCAUUUAGGUCAUAAUAGUGGACUUAAGAGACUCAUGAAGGCAAAGCGUUCCAUUUCACCCCAGGUAUCAUUCUUAGAAAUAGGUUCCCCAUUUGCGUUACAAACCAAUCAUUAGAAUUAACCUGGAAGAUGUGUAUUUUCAGAGUCCAUUUAGAUUUAAAGCAUCUUAAAGUAUCCUUUGACUGUGCCAAGUGAAGUCACUUUGGGCAUUGUGGAUUAUAAAUCCAGUUUAGAUGCUGUAUUUAGCAUUAUACACAAAGAAAGAUAUUAAAUAGGUACAAUUUUCUUUUAAAAGGAUUAUUACCAGGCUUUCAAAGGAGCACAAGCACCUCAUUAAUAGUGAAUGUGUUCAUUGGGUUUGAACAAAUUCAACAACCCAGAGAUGCAUUCAAAUAUAUUUAUUUAAGCAUUCUGGAGGUUUUCAAAAAAAUAAAAUCAGAUCUUUCAAGACAACACUAAAAUCACUCUCUUUCUUUCCCCAGCAUGCUGACUGUGGGACAAUUUCCUUGCCAGUGUCACUGUCCAUUCCAAAAACAAAAAAACAAAACGGUUUCUGCCCUCAGGCCCUUUGUCUCCCAUACCCUCCCACACAUCUGCUCCACUUCAAGCCUGGAUUCAAGGAGGUGCCUGGAAACAAAGAAAAUAUUCCUGAGGCUUAAAAAAAAAAAGAGUGUGAGGAAGCAGGGCUCUUUGGCUCUUUUUCAAUGAUGGAAAUUUAGCUUCUCCUUCUCUUUAUCUGUCUCUCUUCCCUCUUGGUUCUCUCACUCUCUAGAACAAAACAAUCAGCAGGCGGGCUUGUGGCAUUCUAAGAACAGACACUGGCAGGAACAAAGGUUACAGAAGUGAGUGACUCUAAGAAUCAAGCAAGACAUGGAGUGGCAGAAAAUUAAAUUCUGAAUCCCUAAAAGACAUGAUGCAAAGAUGACCUUCUCUCCCAAGGACAUGUCCUCAUCCCGCGCUGACCGUGUGUGAUCAUUUCAGGAAAAGCAAACAAUGGAGAAGCUGCUUGAAUGAUACUUAGACCUGGGACAACUGAAAGGAGUUGCACUUAUACAAUUCGAUGCAGUGGAGUCCCCUGGGAGGAGCCCCAGUCACACGGGAAGAGACAGUCACAGCUGUAAUAAAUGAUGGCUAGCAUGUAUCAAGCACUGGCUGAGUCCUCAGCAUACAUUACAUUACAGAAUUCAAUGUGCACCUCAACACUCUGGGGGUGUAUUUUAUAGGAGAACUGUGGCACAAAGAGGGUAAGUGUCUUACUAACUGUGUGGCUCAUCUGCCAAGCAGGGGUAAUCUGACCCCAUGAGGUUGCGACAAGUAUUCAAUUAGUUUUAUUUUACAACUAGAACAGUGGCUGGCUGAAGAAGUAAAAUAUACAAGUAUUUGUUAUGCAAAAACAAAUAAGUCAUAAAUCUUCAUCUUACAGGUAAGAAAAUGCAUUCUGGUUUUUGUUCUGUUGCUGACAAACUAUGGGACUUAAGGCAAGGCCGUGAAACUCUUGGGUCUUGAUUGCCUCCUAAAAACUUCAGCGUUUGUAUUCAAUGAUUAUUUGGAUCCUUUUUCAGCUCCAAGCUUCUUCCGAUGAACGGAACAUAAUUUCUUUGUAGCUUUUCCUUCACCUUACUCCCCUUGUGCUCAUAAUCUAGGGAUUUUAACAGAAGGGGAGUUUGUAAAGGAACAGGGGCAUUUUGGGUUGUCUUGAUGACAAGGGGGCCAUACUGCAUUCGGUAGGAGCGGGAAGGGAUGCUUAGUGUUUAGCAACGCUUGCUGCAGUCCCACCCAAGAUGCCAAUGGCUCUCCUGUAGAAAAUACAGUCAGCUUCAGAAUGCUGGUAGAAAUCAUGAUGUAACACAGAUUUGCAAAGGGAAGGUUUUCUGUCAAAGUUGUGGAGCCACCCAGCCAUGAAACCAUGCAAACUGUGGCCAGACUGCUAUGCUUCCAUAUUAUCAUGCAGCUAAACAGUCACACAAUUAUGCAGCUAUGCAACCACACAGCUGGAUGUCCAUGGAGCCAUGCCCCAAAUCCCACAGUUUUGAAACCAAGCAAUAGCCUAUCACAUUCUUCAAAUGCAAGACAGAUACAAAGUUAGUGUGUUCCUACUUGUCAGUCUCAGACAACAGUAAUGGCAAGCCUUUUUAGGGGACAGGUAAUGAGCAAGACCCAAUUCCUGACUCCAAGAAACACUCAUCUGGGGAAGGGCAGACCUGUGCACAUGUGCACAAGGCUGACCAUACAGCAGUGGAAAUAGCAAUGAGAAGAAAAGGCGUAUGGGGAAAACAGAGAUUCGUUCCACUUGGGGAGGGCCUAGGGAGGCUUUGCAGAGGGGUGGCUUUUGGGUUAGAUUUGUACAAUGAGUAAGGGUGAAGGUAAAAUGUUCCAUCGGAGGAAGUGGCAAGACUAAAUACAUGGAGAAGGAAGGAAAGGGCAGGCCUAGUGAGGACUCAAUAGUGUGGUAUUUAUAGGAAUAGAAGACUCAGACCUGAUGGCUGAAGGCCUGGAAUGCCAUGCCAAGAAUUUCAUCAUUUGUCUAGUAGGAAAUAGCGGUCAUGAAAUAUUGGGCACAAGAGUGACACGAUCACAUCCAUCCUCCAGAAAGACUCUUUGGCAGGAAUGUGAGAAAUGAACUGAAGAAAAGUCAGAAGUAAACGAGAGGUUUAGAGGUUCCAGUGCGGACACACAAUCCUAUCCCUGCUUCCGUUGACACUGGAAUAAAGCCCAAACUCCUGCCCAUCACUCACAAGGUCCUAAAUAGUCUACGUCCUUACAGACAUCCUCUCCUACCCCACAUCCCUCUCCCAGUUUCCCCCAGUUACUUUCACCUCACUCUGUGCCUCAAUCACAUUAAGCCCAUUCCUGUCUCAGGGCCUUUGCACUACUGGGGGCCCCUCCUGGAGCACUCUAUCCCCUAAUGCUCACAAAGCAGCUCCUGCUCUUCACUCACAAGUUAGCUCCUUCCUCAAAGACCCCUCGCCUUACCACCCAAUCUGCUAGGCUUCCCCAUCUCCAGUCACUCUCUAUUUUAUUAUCUUGGUUUUCUUCACGGUGCUUACCAAUGUCUGAAAUUGCCUUGGUUAUUUCUUUCUCUACCCAUCACCAUUAGCUCAAACCCAAAUGUAAGCUCUGAGAGAAGAAUCUUGGUCUUGUCCACUGCUCCAGCCCCAGCAUCUAAAACAGCACUCACUCUAGGGUGGGUGCUGAAGAAUAUUUGUGGGAAGGAAGGAAGGAAGGAUUUUCUGUGUGAUAAAUAUACAAAAUUCAACUGAGCUUGUGAUUUUGUAAGAGACACACAUGGAGCAAUAGGGGAGGAAGGGAAUGACUGCCUAGCCACCAAGAUGCCCCCACAUUCAGGAAGGGCAGUGGUAGGUGAUUUGAAGGGGAGCAUUAAUGAGGGCCUGAACUAGGGCAGCAGUUGGGCCUGGAAAGAAAGGAACAAUUCACUGCAACCAUUCAUUUCAGAGACAGACUGUAGAAGUUGGUGCCUGAUUAGAUGUGCAGAGAAAGAUAGGAAUAAGACAAAAAUAACCCCAAAAUCUUACACCUGAACAACCAGAGAUGAUUCUGAUGAACAGAGAGGGAUGGCACCAUAGGGUGGGCAAGUGUGAGGGAGAAGAGGUUAAUUUGGUUUGGGGCAAGUUGAAUUUGAGGAACUUGGCUGACAGUAUUUGGAUGCCUUGUGAUGGUUGGAAAUGUGGUCUGGAAUCAAGAGCAGAUAUGGCGGGAAGCAGCCACUGGGAGGAUAACGUCAGCAGCAGGUGAGUUCUCUGGGAGAGCCUGCUGGAUAAGAGAAGAGUACUGGGCAAGGGCGUGAAGAGACGUGGGUAGAGCAUGGGGCAAAUCACGAAAGAGGAACUAAAAAAGAGGACGAGGCUGAGAAGACAUAAUCAGAGGUGGAAGGGAAAUGGUGGUGUAGGGAAACUGAGGGAGAAGGUCCAUUUCCAAAAUGUGUAGUAAGGGUAGGCAGAGGAGAUUGGCCAGGUCAGUGGUGCUGAAAGCUGCAGAAAGGGACAUGGGCACUGACUCUCCAUUUACAAGGUAAUUGGUACUCUUUGUGAUAAGAGUUUCAGUAGAUUAAUAGGAAUGGAAAUUCCCUGUAACAUGUGCAGGAAUCUAUCUGGACCCAUCUGCUUCUCCCCAGUGAGACUUGGGGGAACAGGGACUGAUGCAAAUAUGCUAAUGCUCAAAAGGUUUGCUAUGCCACAGUUGUAACGUCCUUUGUUUCUGACCCUGGAGUCUCGUGUCUUACCAGUAUCCAAGAAACUGUGACAGGCUAACUUGUAGGGUAAAAUCUCAGGUCCUUCCUAGUUAUUAAAACUACCAUGCUUUUCUAGAAACUUGCCAUUCCUCCAUUAAGAAGUGGAGUCUGAUUCCCCUCCUUUGAAAUCUGGGCAGGCUUGUGACUCAUUUAUAACCAAUAGAAUACAGGAGAAAUAAACUGUAUAAUUUCCGAGACUAGGACAUAAAAGGCAAUGCAGCUUCUACCUUGCUAACUGGGGCUUGCACUGGAGUUCUGAGCAGUUAUGCAAACAUGCUGACUGCCCUGGGCCACCAUGCUGUGAGGAAGCCCAAACUAGCCCUUGCAGAAAGAGCAUAUGGAGAAGUCCUGGGACUGUACCGAGAGAGAUGCCCAACCAGUCCCAGCUGUUCCAUCUGACAGCAAAACCCCAGCAAUUUUAUUCCACAAAUAACUUUAGGUUUUUGCUUUUCAACUUUUUGCUUUUAGACUUUUUGCUUUUCAAAAUAUCUCAGUCACCUUCAAAGGAUGAAGAUUUACAACUAGUGAAUAUGGUCGAAAGAACAGGCCCAAGCUGGGCAUGGUGGCUCAUUCCUGUAAUCCCAACACUUCCGGAGGCCAAGGUGGGAGAAUUGCUUCAGCCCAGGAGUUGGAGACCAGCAUGGGCAACAUGGCAAAACCCCAUCUCUAUGAAAAAAAUGUUUUUAAUUAGCUGGGCAUGGUGGCUUACCUGUGGUCCCAGCUACUUGGGAGGCUGAGGUAGAAAAACUGCUUGAGACUAGGAGAUCAAGGCUGCAGUGAACCGUGAUCGUAUCACUGUGCUUCAGCCUGGGUGACAGAGCAAAACCCUGUUUCAAAAAAACAAAAACAAAAAACAAACAAAGAACAGGCCCAGAGAUGUGAACAGAUUGUAUAUAGGGCAGAAAUGGCAGUUUUUCCAGAAUUGUAUAAAAAGAUGGCAACUUCAUUCUUAGAAGGCACACUAAAACUAAGUGAGCUACAAUUCCUUACCUACUAAAGUGAUAAAAAUCCCUAAGUUUGAUAAUCUACCGUACUGGCAGGGCUAUGGGGAAACAGGCACUUUCAUAUGCUGCUGAUGGGAAUGCAAAAUGGCACAAGGCCUCUGGGGGGAAAUUUGGCAAUAUCUAGCAAAAUUACAUUUGCAUUCAGCAUUUGGCCCAGCUGUACCACUUUUUAGGGAUCUACCUAAAUCUACACUGGAAAAAAAUGAAAAGACACAUGGACAAGACUAUUUGUUACAGUAAAAGAUUGGGAACAGUCCUAAUGGCCAUCAGUAGGAGACUGGUUUAAUAAACCAGGACACAUCCACACAAUCGAGCGCUAUGCAGCUAUAAAAAGGAAUGAGGAAUUUAUGUAGUGCUUUGAAGUGAUAUCUGGGAUAUAGUCUUCAGUGAAAGCCAAGGGAAAGAACAGUAGGUAUAGUAUGCUGCCUUUUAUCUUAAAAAUGAAAAGCAUCUAAAUAUAUAGAUACAGAUAUAGAGAUUUCUGUGUAUGUGUGCGUAUGUUUGCUUAUUUGAAAAAAAAAAGAUAAACCAAAAACUAAUAAAAUGGUUAUCUAUAGGAUGACAAAGGAAUCAGAGGAAAGGGGGCAGAGAUAAUGAAAGCGAACUUUUUAUAUGUAGCUUAUUUUAUAGAUUUGUCUUUAGAACCAUGUAAAUGUUUGACCAAUAUAAAACAAAAUUAAACUGAAAUGAAAGAAACAGCAAUUUUUCCUGAAAUGCAAAAGUAAAAUGAAACAAAUGAACCUACCUAUCUAGCAAGUUGAUGGCUUAACCACUGUGAUGGUUAAUACUGAGUGUCAACUUGAUUGGAUUGAAGGAUACAAAGUAUUGAUCCUGGGUGUGUCUGUGAGGGUGUUGCCAAAGGAGAUUAACAUUUGAGUCAGUGGGCUGGGGAAGGCAGACCCACCCUUAAUCUGGGUGGGUACAAUCUAAUCAGCUGCCAGCGAAUAUAAAUCAGGCAGAAAAACGUGAAAAGGCAAGACUGGCCUAGCCUCCCAGCCUACAUCUUUCUCCCAUGCUGGGUGCUUCCUGCUGUCAAACAUCAGACUCCAAAUUCUUUGUUUUGGGACUCAAACAGGCUCUCCUUGCUCCUCAGCUUGCAGACAGCCUAUUGUGGGACCUUGUGAUCAUGUAAGUUAAUACUUAAUAAACUCCCCUUUAUAUAUAUAUGUAUAGACUAUUAGUUCUGUUCCUCUGGAGAACCCUCAUACAGCCACCCAGCAAUAAAUUAUUUCAAUUUACUUUAAAACACAGUAAUCUAACUGUAUGUCCCUAUUGGGAUAUACCCUAAAGACAAAAAACUCCCAAAAAAUCUUUAAAAACAUUUUCAGUAAUCACACUGAGGCAGGAAAAUAGAGUCUGGAGGCAGGGAACAUAAGGCCGAUCCACAUUUCAGCUAUAACAGGAAACAUCCUCUCCAUAGGGCAUAGGUGGUAAAUGACUUUGUAAUUUUACUUCAUCCUCUCCAUUUACAUAGGGCAUACCCAAAGUAACCAAUGGAAUCCUCUAAGGGAUAUUUAAACUCCCCAAAAUUCUGUAAUGCAGCCUUUGAGCCCCUAUGCUUGGGCCUGCUCUUACACUGUGGAGUGUACUUUCAUUCUCAAUAAAUCCCUUCAUUCUUUCCUUGCUUUGUUUGUGCAUUUUGUCCAAUUAUGUGUUCAAGAUGCCAAGAACCUGGACACCCUCCACUGUUAACAAUACUGUUACAUAUAUAAGACAAAGCAACCUUAGUUUCUUACUUAUAAUGUUGUUAGGAACCAAGAUUUUUAGCAUCUAAAAAAAAAGAAUAAAGUUUUAAAAGGAUGAAAAAUCUGAAUUGAUAAUAUCAAUACAAACACAUAGUCUCUUUAAAAAUAGUUUCUAGCUCUGUCCAGUGAAAAGAGAUUUAAACAACAGCCAACCCAGUAGCAACAAGCAGCCUAGGUGCCCAGGCUGUAGGCUCUAAGUAUAGUACUUCAAUUAGAGGAACCAGGGCUCCUUAGAGAAAUUGGUAAUUCCAAGUCCUAGCCCAGAAAAAUAAAAGAAUGAGCCUAUAAAAACAUAAUAAGCCUAGAAAUAAUAAUAAGCCUAGAAAAACAUACCAUACCAGAAAGCCAGGACUAUCAAAGACUACUAGAAGUGUGUGAAAAGGAGUCAAGAGUCAAACAGGGGAUCCCACUAGCCAAAGAUGGGAAACCCUGAGUAUACACAUACAAGAUAAUAAGUGCAAUGAGUUAAAACCCAUCCAAUAUGCUAAUGAGCCAUGAAUCCAUCAUGACGCUUUAAGAAACACUCCUCGGGCCACCUUUGGUGGAUACUAGGGGAGAAACUGAGAACUGAUCAUUAAAGGGAAAACAUUUGGCAUUUACUCAGACUUUUCAGGAAAGCCAAAAGGGAUGUGGGGAAAAGUUAUUCUUUAUAAAAGAAUUCCAAGUAAUAAAUGUUGAAGAAAUGUUAGACUAUCACCAUUUUGUAAUUCCUAAUGAAAUAAUUGAUGUAGGCAAUGAUUAUCAAUAACUGCUAAAAGCAUUAGGUAGAAAGCUGAUGAGAAACUUUAUAAAGGAUAGAUCAGGUGGCCUAAGUCGAUCACAAAAAACAAGAUAUAACCUGAUGUGUGGUUCCUGAUGUAGAACCACACGAUGGAAAGAAUACCUCAUCACCUAUGAAGUUUCUUACUGAAAAAGCAAACCGGAAUUCCAUCAAGCCUAUUGUUCUAUCAGUUUACAGAGAAUACAGAAACUUUUUUCAAUUAAUUAAUUAAUUUUUAAAUUGACAAAUAAAAUUUUAUAUGUGGUGUACAACAUGAUAUUUUGAUAUAUGUAUAUAUUCUUGAAUGGCUAAAUCAAGCUAAUUAACGUAUUCAUGAUCUUAGAUAUCUUUCUUCAUGGUGAGAUCAUUUAAAAUCUACUUUUUAAACAUUCAAAUACAAUUGUCCCUCCCUCCCUGCAGGUUCCAUUUUUGCAGUUUCAGUUACCUAUGGUCAACCAAAGUCCAAAAAUAUUAAAUGGAAAAUUCCAGAAAUAAACAAUUCUUAAGUUUUAAAUUGUGUGCCAUUCUGAGUAGCAUGAUGAAAUAUCUUGCUGUCCUGCUCUGUCUUGCCUGGGAUGUGUAUGUAUGUAUGUAUUGUAUGUAUUGUAUAUAUGUAUUGUCCUAUGUAUCCGUGCUGUAGACACCAUUGGCCUGUUAGUUACUUUGUAGCCCUCUUGGUGUUCAGAUCAAUUGUCCAGGUAUCAUGGUGCUUACAUUCAAGUCACCCUUCUUUUACUUAAUAAUGGCACCAAAGCAAGAGUAGUGAUGCUGGCAAUUCUGAUAUGCCAAAGAAAAGCCCUAAAGUGCUUCUUUAAAAUAAAGUGUGAAAGUUCUCUAUUUAAUAAAGAAAGGAAGAACAAUAUAUAUAGGGUUUUGUACUAAUUGUGGCUUCAGGCAUCCCCUGGAAGUAUUGGAACUUAUUCUCCAUGGAUAAGGAGGAACUACUCUAUACAAUACAUUGUUAUUAACGCUAGUCACCAUGUUGCGCAAUAGCUUUCCUGAAGGUUUUCCUCCUAACUGAAUAUAGCAACAUUUUAAACAACACCACAGGGAGGCAAUCAGCAAAAUCCAAAAAAUUAGAAACUCUACAAGACAAAACAACCAGUUUCUUCAACAAAUCAAUUGAAGGGGAAAGGGAGGAAAUGGGAAACCUAUAAACUGAAAGAAACAAGAAAAAUACAAACCAAAUACAACAUGCAGAUGUUGUUUGUAUCUCAAUUCAAACAAACCAAUGAUAGGAAAACAUUUAUGAGACCAUUGGGAAAAUUGGGGCACUGGCUGAAUUUUUAUUACAUUAGAGAAUUAAGAAUUAAGGGAUUUUCAUUAAUUUUAGAUGUGAUAAUGGUAUUGUGGUUAUAUAUUAGGUUGAAGCAUAUGGAAUUGCUGAUAUUAUACCAUUUCAACCUAUAAAAAAUGACAAUUUAAUAUAGUCCAAUCCAAUAUCUUUUUACUUUUUAAAAAUUUUCUUUUGAGACAGGGUCUUGCUCUGUUGCCCUGGCUGGAGUGCAGUGGUAUAAUUUCAACUCACUGUAAGCUCUGCCUCCCAGGCUCAAGCAGGCUUAGCCUCCAGAAUAGCUGGGACUACAGGCAUGCACCACCACGCUUGGCUAAUUUUUUAAAAACAAUUUUUUUAUAGAGAUGAGGCCUCACUAUAUUGCCCAGGAUGGUCUCAUACUCAUAGGCUCAAGUGAUCCUCCUGCCUCAGCCUCCCAAUGUGCUGGGAUUACUGGUGUGAGCCACCAUGACAGCCCCAAUAUCUUUUUAAAAGAGUCCUAAUUUCUUAGAGAUUCAUACGAAAGUAUUCAUGGAUGAAGUUACAUGACUUCCGGAAUUUGCUUCAAAAUUACUCAAUUGAUGAAGGGGAAUGGAGGCAGAGAUGAAACAAGAUUUGCAAUGCAUUGAAGCUGUGAUGGAUACGUGGGGGUUUAUUAUAUAAUAUUCUCCAAAUAUAUAUAUAUAUAUAUAUAUAUAUAUAUAUAUAGCUUGAAAUAUGUGCAUAUAAAGUUUCAAAUUUUCAUAUAUGUUUGAAAUGUUAUAUUAAAAAAUGUCUAAGGCUACAAUUAAGGGGUUCUAGGAUUGUUUUGAGCAAUUGCAACCAGAUGGUGUUUGAUGCUCAAUUGAAGAUAUAAUCUCCAUUUGUGUGUGGUGUGUGUGUGUGUACCUACACAUUCAGAUCACCUUUUCAUAUAACUUUUUUGUAUAUCAUAUACAUUCCACACUAAUUUUUUGCUUACUGCUACAGGGUUUUGGAAUCCCAAGAAUAGUCAGCGUUUGAAUUUUGAAUUUAUGUGCAAAAGAGACAAAUAUGGCUAAAGGCCAUGGGCACACUCUCUCUGGGUCCCUGUGUUAACGAUUUUAGUAGCUUCUAUUUAAAUGGUGCUCUUUCUCUAAGCUCAUUGGGUAUUUUCUGAAAGCUUACAUAAUGGCUGGAAGCCCCCUGCCUCUGCAAAGGAACACCUGAUUCAGAAAAGUAAACACCAUAACAGCAACCCAUUCAUCAGCUGCCCAGACUCACAACCAAGCAGACAUGCAGCGACUUUCCAUAAACCCUCAUUUCUGGCAUUACAGCCUGUGGCAAUAACAGAGUUAAGGAAAGGUAAGUGAAACUCAGAGAGACACACUGAGAUAAUUAUUCCUCACGCCUCUUAGAAGAACAUUCCACCCUCUCAGAAGAAGCCCUGUCUGAAUCUGAUUCAGCUGAGAAAACAACUCAGGCCAUGGUAGCUGCACCCAACUCUCUAAAUCAACAGUGACCUGUGCUGAAGGGAUUAAGGCAUCCCAACAUUCCUCAGAGCCCAAGGCAAGGAGAAUCCCUUAUGAAGAUGAAAUUGAUCUUCAAGCACCCUCUACCUUACUCUGCGUGAUGCCAUAUUCUUCCUGAAUCCCACCCAACUCAAGAGCAUGAUUUGCAUAAUAAAAUCUCUAAUACUUUGAUGAACAAAUGUUAUCCAAGAUACUUUAAAAACUGCCUUCACGGUGAGAAAUGAACUUAAUUCCAUAAAUUCAUUGUCUGUUCGUUAUUCUAGAAACAUUAUUUGAGUAUUCAGCAUGUGCUGAGCUAUUUAGAGAUGUUUCUGAGGGCUAGGACUAGUAACUGCAAAUCCUAUGCUUUUUUUCCUCUCUUCCACACUGCCUUGGGGAUUAAAGACAGUGGCUCUUAAAUCUGGCUGUGCUUCAAAAUCAUCUAGGACAGGAGUGGGCAUUGGAACACAGACACGCUCAUUCAUUUAUAUAUUGUCUAUAGCUGCUUUGGCAUUAAAAACAGAAGUUGAGUAGUUGCAAAAGAAAUCACGUGGCCCACAAAGCCUGAAAUAUUUACCCUCUGUCCCUUUACAGAAAAAGUUUGCUAACCUCUGAUCUAGGACCUCUGGACCAGCAGCGUCAGCAUCACUUGGAAGCCUGUCAAACAUGCAGAAUCUCAGGUCCAACCCAGACCCAUGAAAUUUCACUCUCCACUGAACUAGAGAACAUGGGGACACUGCAGGUUUUCUAGCCGCACUCCCACUACCAAAUCAGAAGUGCCUGGGGUGGGACCUUUGUUUGAGAUUCCCCAGGUGAAUCUGAUAUGCAGCCACUAGGGAAGCAGAAAGAUGAGUAAGGUGAUUACUGCCAGGUCUUCCUGUGGAACUGCAGCACCAGAUUCUCCAGCUGCUGAGAGUUAGCUGCUAAAGGAUCACAGCUGAGUGCCUCUCCAGGCACUGCUCCUGUGGAAGGAAAUGACCUUACCCAAGGUCACACCUACUUGCUAGGGGAAGACUGCAUCCAACGCCUGGCCGAUACAGGGUAAAAAGGCCCAGUCUUCUCAAUUGCUGAAUGGCCAUCCCAGCUCCAGAGCUCCCCAGGGCAUCAGCUGAAGCCCCUAUUACAACAGCCAUUCCCCAGGGCAUCAGCUGAAGCCCCUAUUACAACAGCCAUUCCACUCCUCCCUCUGCCCUGGACUGUGCCCCUCACCCUAUUAGAGAAACUGGGAUGCUGACUGAAUUAUUAUAUUAGAGAAUUAAGAACUUUUCAUUAAUUUUUAGGUGUGAUGAUGGUAUCAUGGUUAUAUAUUAGUUUGAAGUAUAUGAAAUUGCUAAUAUUACACUAUUUCAACCUACAAAAAUAACAAAAUGGUCCCAUCUAAUAUCUUUUUGGUCCAAUCUAAUAGAUAUGGUCUACUCUAAUAUCUUUUUUAAAGAGUCCCAGUUUAUUAGAGAUUCAUACUGAAGUAUUCAUGGAUGAAGUUACAUGACUUGUGGAAUUUGCUUCAAAAAUGUUUAAUUGGCGAAGUGGAAUGGAGGCAGAGAUGAAACAAGGUUUGCAAUAUGUUGAUAAUUGUUGAAGCUGAUGAUGGGUACAUGGAGGUUUAUUAUACUAUUCUCCAUGUAUAUAUAUAUAUAGCUUGAGAUAGUAAGAGGCCCACAUCACAGGUGGUGUUACUAGAGCUCUCUCCAGUAAGGGUUUAUCUCAGAGUCUGUUUCUUGGCUCUGUCUUUAAGAGUAUACAGUAUAAUAGCAGAGAUAAGUCACAAUCAUAAAUAAGAAAACUCAAAAGGGAGUAAGUGUCCUAAAUGGUGUGUGCUAUCAGGGAACACAUAACUGAAGCAGAAGGGCAGGAGCAGCAGGCUUUUGGGGUGACAGGUGGGGCUGUGGGAUCAGGUGGGAUGCCCUUUGAGGCACCUGAUCCCAUUGCCCCACCCAUCACCCCAAAGGUUGUAUGGAGAGGCUGGAAAGAAAGCCUUGAAUUCCACACUAAGACAUUUGUAUUCAGUAGAUAGUGGGAAAUCAUGGAAGGCUUUGAGUAGAAGAAUAACACAAUAAUGAUCCCAGCUGUACUUGGGAGUAUUCACCUGGCAAUAAUGUGAAGGGGAUUGGAGUGGGAGUGACUGGGGGUGUGAAGACUAGUCCAAAAGUUGUUGCAAAUGUCUAGGUGAAAGGCGGUGAGGACAGAAGCUAGCAAUCCAUGAAGGGGCUGGUGUACAGGAAAGACCACAGGGCUCAGAAUGAGACAGACCUGAGUUCCAAACCCCACCCCACUGCUCACAGCCCAUGUACACUUAGACAAGCCAUCCCACCUCUCUGACUACCCCCUUCUGUAAAAUGGAAAUAACAGAGUUAGGUAAUAAAUCUGCAAAGCCCGGCACAUGCUGGGCACCCAAUUAAUGGAAGCCACACCAUGAGGUCGUAGCUGUGUUCGUUUGUGCUUGUACAUCAUCACUUAUCACCCCAGCAAGAAAGUGUGAGCCUGACUGCUAUGAAGACUGCCCUUGAAAAGUGAUUCUUGGAGGUAAUCGUUUAAUGAGGCCUCAGUUUCAAACACACCAGUUGUUUAUUGAGGUGCUUAAGCCUGAAUCAUUCCUCUUAGGAAGGGUGCACAGGCGAUCUCUGCUUCCAUUGUAACCGCUGCCAUGCCCUGUUGUCAUGGCGACCAGUUUCCCAAACUGCCCUGCUAUUUUCUGCAAGCCUUUCCAGUUUCUUCAUGCCCUAAAGUCCACAAGCCCUAGAGACAGCAGCAGGUUGGGUUUUUUGAACUUCCACAGAAAACACUGUCAACUCUUUAAAUUUGCCAGUUGGCUGCGAGCUGCUUCUCCAACAGAAGCUCCCAGCCUGAGCAGCAGUGUGACCCUGCACAGCAGACACCCACAAAUGUUCCCACUAACUGGAAAUUGGUGCCAUGGAAUACUAGCUGGCACAUCAGUCUCUGGCUGGCAUUAACCUUGCAGGAAAAUAAGGCAGAAGACAAGGGAAAGUCCACCAUGCAUUUCAUGUACACAGCACAGUCUGAAGUUAAAAGACCAUUCUAAAAGAUUAAAGUUUAAGGUAUUGCAUUAUUUUAAAAAUUAUUUCAAUAUUAGCACAUGUGGUUUUUCCAGAGAAUGUUCACCUUAUGAACUUACUUGAAACAUAAAAAUAUUAAAAACAAUAUUAUUAUUGUUGUUAUGGCAAAAUUGUAAUACUAGCAAUCAUGUCACCUUGGUUUCUGGCAGAACUUCUCUCCCUCCUCACUUACCUAAUUCCUUUCCCCCUUCUUGUUCCUGGAAAUCUUCUCUCCUCUCUGACCACAGCUAUAGGAUGAAAGAAGUGACCACUCUGCUGGCAGCCUGCCCAGUAUCUGUUCUCCCCAUUUUUCCUUUGCCAAGAGGACCCUGAUACUUUUAGGGUAGCUUGAAAGUUCCCUGUGUGGAAGGAAAUGACCUCACACAACAUCACAUCCCCUUGCUGGGGAAGCCCACAUCCAAUGCCUGGUCAAUAUAGGGUAAAAAGCUAAAAGUUUUGAGUUCCUAGACACCCUUGCGGCCCAGAACACCUACAUCAUACACUUCUGACCAAUAAGACCCAAGCAAAGUUUACUGGGUUUGAGGAAAACUGUCAUUUUACAGAUAAGGAACAGAUCAGGCAGAAUGCCCCUUUCUGCCCGUCUCCUUCUUCCCAUUUGAAAUAAGAUGGUGCAGCAUCUCGCAGCCAUGAGGAUGAAAUCCACACACUAAGGAUGGCAGAGCAAUAAACCCAAAGGAGCCCAGCUCCUCCACAGUGUCCGUGACUGGGUGUGGCUGCCGACCUCCAGACCUCUGUGCAGACCUUCCAUGGGCUAAAUCCCAUUCCUGGAGUUGGUUUCUGUUCAGGCAGCCAGAUGCAAUCCCUAACUGGUACAAAAGGUGUGGAGGGUUCCCUUCAUUCAACAAACAUCCACCGAGUGCCUACUCUGUGCUGGGCACUGUUCUAAGCACUUGGACUGUAACAGCGGGUGAGUCCAUCAGAUCCUUGACCUCUUGGAGCAAGAGAGUCAAGAAAUAAACAGUAAACGAACAAGACAAUGACAGGCAGUGGUGUUAGGAAGGAAAUGACCAGAUGGCCACUGGGGAAGGCUGGUCUCUCUGAGGAGGUGACAUCUGAACUGAGAGCCAAAGGGUGAAGAGGAGUUAACCACACAGAGGGGGCGGGUGUGGGGAGGAAGCACAUUGCAGCAAGUGUGAAGGCCUGUGACAGGAAGGGGCUCCAUGUAUUCAGAGAACAGAGGGGAAUCAAGCGUGGCCGGAACACGCUGAGCAAAAAACAGAGCAGAGUAAACAAUGAAAUCAUGCUGGAAAAUCAGCAGGGACCUCGUCAUGCAGGCCCCUGGAGGCCAAGGAAGGGACUGGGAUUUUAUUCUACACAUAGUAGAACAGGAAGCUAUCAGAAGGCAUUAAACAAGAGAGUGACAGGACCUGACAUAUGUUUUUAAAAGAUCGUUCUGCCUAUGACAUGAAGAAUGAAUUGUCAAGGGUAUGAAUGGAAGCAGGCUAUGGCAGAUGUUCAAGUGGAAGACGGAUGUGGCUUGGGCUUGGGGAGGGCCCAUGGAGAUGCAGAGUAGACCUUCAUCCAAAUGGAGCUGCCUGUGAGGUUCCUGUAUAUGGUUACAACAAGGGGCAACCUUGUCAGUGCACUUAGAAUUCAAAUGGACAGACUAGGAGGAAAGGAUGGCUAAAGAUGUUUAGAAAUGCUCAGAUGGCAAGAAGGAUGUAUGCUGGGUCACUGGAAGGAAAAAUGGGAGAAUUCACAGCAAGUCUGUGAUUUUUUUUUUUAUAUUCAGAGGGAAAGUAUAGGAUAGCAUCAGGGGCUAUUAUAUGGGGUCUGUCACCGCAUAUUAAUGAGGAAUGAAUAGAAUUGCUGAGAGGUGGUGGGAUCAUUGUUCUAGAGCAUGAAUUGCUUAUAGGGGCAAUCAUAACAUGCAUGACUUUUUCCAGAAAUGCUGGGCAGCUCCAAAACAAGAGUGUAAGGAACAGAGGGGAAGGGUGACCCAAGGUUUGAGACUGGCAUGACAAGCCUGGUGCAAGCUUGAGGAUGUGAGGGGAUCCUGGCUGCUAGAAUGCACAACACUGAAACACUAAGCCCUUUGUACUUGUGAAUGCAUUAAUUCUUCAAUAAGUCCCAUCCUACAAUGUGGAAACUGAAACCCAGAGAGGCUAAGAAACUUGCUGAGGGUCACACAGCUGAUAAAUGCCUGUUGUUAAAAUCAAAUUCCUAGGCCGGGUGAGGUGGCUCACACCUGUAAUUGCAGCAUUUUGGAAGGCCAAAGCAGGCAGAUCAUGAAGUCAGGAGAUUAAGACCAUCCUGGCUAACACUGUGAAACCCCAUCUCUACUAAAAAUACAAAAAAUUAGCUGGGCGUGGUGGCAGGUGCCUGAAGUCCCAGCUACUCGGGAGGCUGAGGGAGGAGAAUCGCUUGAACCCAGGAGGCAGAGGUUGCAGUGAGCUAAGAUUGAGCCACUGCACUCCAGCCUGGGCGACAGAGCAAGACUCCAUCUCAAAAAAAAAAAAAAAUCAAAUUCUUUAACAAUGCAACUAUUAUAUUAUCUUCAAACAAAGUAACAGGGAGGGUGAUGGAUGAAGAGAGCAGGUUGAGGCCCAGGGACCCGAGGUCAUGAUGCUUGUUAAAAGCUGGCUCACUAGUUGGGGAGGAAGUGUAUGAAAUUGUAAACAGAGACUGGAUCUGGCUGGGUGAUCCUGUGGGUGUGGCUGUAUCAGAAUUCAGGAUAAUGGCUUAGAGAAGAAGGUCAAGAAUCCCUGGGUUGGAUUUCCAGGCCAAAGGGCAUCAGCUUUGCCUAACUGCCCACUAAAAUGCCUGUGAAGACAUAGAAAAAGACCAAGACUCACAACAUCACCACAAGUGAAGACUGGUAGGCAACCUAAUCCCAGAAUCUAGGAGAAGUUGUCAUCAUUUGUAAAGCAGAUUGUGUUAGAUUAAGAAAAACCUAUCCAGACUUUUGGUUUUGCUUCAUUACACAGAAGCCACAUGGUGAGAUGUAGGCAGACAUUAGGUACCUAUCCCAUCUUACACAAAGACCUAGAGCUGGAAGCCUAUGGAGUGGUACCAGUCACAGCUCUGGGCAGCCAACCUGUCUGACCUCAUGGGCAUUUGAGACUCAGAAAGCUGGUCCCUGCACACACACACACACACAGACACACCCAGCCAUACACACAGACACACACACACACACAGCCAUGUUUCUAUAUCCAUGAUAUGGUUUGGCUGUGUCCCCACCCAAGUCUUAUCUUGAAUUGUAUCUCCCACAAUUCCCAUGUGUUGUGGGAGGGGCCAGGUGGGAGGUAAUUGAAUCAUGGGGGUGGGUCUUUCCCAUGCUGUUCUUAUAAUAGUGAAUAAGUCUCAUGAGAUCUGAUGGUUUUAUAAAGGGGAGUUUCCCUGCACAAGCUCUCUUCUCUUGUCUGCUGCCAUGUGAGAUGUGCCUUUCACCUUCCAUCAUAAUUGUGAGGCCUCCCCAGCCACAUGGAACUGUGAGUCCAUUAAACCUCUUCUUCCUUAUAAAUUACCCAGUCUCAGGUGUGUCUUUAUCGGCAGCAUGAAAACAGACUAAUACAACCCAUAAAGAGACUAAAUCCCAGAAAACAGCUAGGAAAAAUAUAGAACAGCAUACUCAGCCUGAGCCUGUUGUGGGGGCUUGAGGGGGAGGUAAGAGGGAAACAUGGAGGAAUUACCUACAGUAAUUACCUGGUAUGUAAUUUGCCUGAAUUCAAGUAUAUUUGCCCAGUAUUGAAAGAAAAAAAGAAAAAUCCCUUUACUUUUCCAUGACCUUUCCCCCUUUCUCUUCCUCCAUUCAAACUAGACUUGGGCUCCCACUACCUCCAUAUAGUUUCCUAAAUACAAAAAUGAACAAAUAUAAUUUUUCUUGGUUUCUGAGCUUCCAAGCAGUUUGAGGAAUUUUUCCCAUCCCCCCAUCCGGAACUUUAAACAUCACCUUCACGUAUAAGAUGUAAAUACAACAUCAUCUUCAUGGUACCUGAAAGAUGAAACCUAAAUGCUGAGAGAGGCAUUAUUUUCCUCUGUGUGCUUUUUCUAUGCUUUUUAAAUGUUUAAUUAGGAGCAUGCACUGCAUUUGAAACCAGAAAAAAAUAUAUGAUUCUGCCUAAAGACUGUUCCUGUUUAAUGGGCCUGUCAGGUGACUGGGAUGCAGGUGACACCUGGGGCACCUCCUGCAACCCUUUCUAUGGAGAUGGAGAUUGGAGCAGCACGGGCACUCAGCACAGGGAGAGGGCAGUGUAAGCACCGCAGAGCUGCAGGACUCAGCCUUGUAAACGCUGGCAGGAGGCUCCCACGCUAAAUGGUUAAUAUUUUCAGAAAAGCCCAAGGCAGAUGGGGUGGGGGAGGGUACUACAUUCGUGCUUAGCAGCACAGCACAAUGGACCCUGCCCUGAAUUCAGAAACAAGAGACCUGAAUUCUGAUCCUAGCUCUCCCACUUCCAAGCUGGUGGCCUGGCUCAGUCUCUUCAUCUCACUGAAUCCCAGCUCCUCAUCUGGCAAGUGAUGAGAACAAUUGUUUAUGAGGUUAUUUCGGAGGGUGAUAUAAACUAAUGUCAAAAAGAAAAAUUCUCACAUAUAGUAAAUGCAAAUAGUAGAUUCAAAUAAAUGCUAUUUGAAUCUAAACAGCCAGGAAAUAGAUCCAAUCUCAGAAAAAAGUGUGAGGAAGUAACAGUGGAAAUCCGUCUCUCUUAUUAUUUCCAAAUGUUCACAGUGUUAGUGCUCAUAAACACACUUGCAUUAGUUUGCUAGGGCUGCCAUAACAAAGUGCCACAAACCGCAUGGCUUAAACAACAGAAACCUGCUGUUUCCCAGUUCUGGAGGCCAGAAGUCCAGGACCAAGAUAUCAGCAGGCCGGUUACAAAAAACAAACAAACAAAAAAAGGCAGAAAGAAUGAAUGAGACCUACUAUUUGACAGCACAAUAAGGUGACUAUAGUCAAUAAUAACUUAAUUGUACAUUUUAAAAUAACAAAGUAUAACUAGAUUGUUUGCUACUCAAAAGAUAAAUGCUUGAGGUAAUGGAUACCCCAUUCUCCAUGAUGUGCUUAUUUCACAUUUCAUGCCUGUAUCAAAACAUCUCAUGUGCUCCAUGCAUACAUACACCUACUAUGUACCCACAGAAAUCAAAAAUGAAAAAGCAUAUCAGCAGGGUUGGUUCCUGCUGGAGGCCCGGAGGGAGAAUCUGUCCCUUGCCUCUCUCUGAGCUUCCAGUGGUUUUCAGUGGACUUUGGUGCACCUUGGCUGGUGGCAGCAUCACCGGUCUCUGCCCUCAUCUCCACAUGGAGUUCUCCCUGUGUGUCUCUCUGUCUCCAAAUUUCCCCUUUUCAUAAGGACACCAGUCAUUCUGGAUUAGGGCCCACCCUAAUGAACUCAUUUCAACUUGAUUACCUCUUUAAAGAUUCUCUUUCCAAAUAAGGUCACAUUCUGAGGUACCGGGGUAGAGGAGGGGUUAGGGCUUCAACAUGUGAAUUGGGGGAGACACAAAUCAGCACAUAACAACAUUCCAAAAGAACAACAUUCUCAAGAGAGAUGGCUGUGGUUGGGCAUGAGACAGAGUGGGAGUCAGGCAUGUGAGGAAGCAAGCGUUCCUGGUAGCCAAGCUAGCGAGAGCUAUAUCAUGAUUGGGCUCAGGGUAAACCCCUCGAGUCUGCUCUGCAGAGGAGAGUAAAUGUGGCAUAUAGACUGGCCAGAGAGGCUCUGAAGGAGUCUUUAUAGGGAUAGGAUUUUGCAGCAGAGGCCAAAGGUCUGCUGAGAGUGUCUCGAGGCUGUAGGCCUGACAUGGGAGGGCUCCUGGGAUGAAUGGUGCAGCACCAUUGUCCGAGAACAGGUUUAGACACCCAACUUCACAAGGGCAGAAUGGCCUUAUCAGCAGGAAGAUGCUGUGGACCACAGGUGCACAGAUCCCAGGGUGAAGGUUGGACCUCCAGGAGUCCAAACCUGAGGGAUUGCUGAGUGCAGAAUGAGCCAGGAAAAGACCCCUUUCUGACUCAGAGAAGACUAGGUUCUUCCCACCAGGGCCUAUUAAUCGAAGAAAAAAAAAUCUGCAAUGUUUUUUGCGAAAAAAAAAUCUGCAUUUAUCCUUUGAGUUACAUACAAUCCAAUUACACUCUUUAAAUUAUUUAAAAAUAUACAGUUGAGUUAUUAUUGACUAUCGUCAUCCCAUUGUGUUAUCAAAUAGUAGGUCUUAUUCAUUCUUUCUACAUAUUCUGGAGGAAAUUCUGGAAUGCACUUGGGAUACUACUACACCCUGCAAUGGAGUCACCUUAAAUUCAUCUUUGGAUAGGGUUGGAAUUGUUUUAUCUAAUGUCCAAUGAAGACAAGGUUCAAUGGACUGAUAUCUAAGACAAAAGCAUCUAAGAUGAGACUCAGGAAAGAGGUUAUAAGAAUGACAGACUAAGCUUCAUUUGCACAGCUAGAUCAUUCAUUCAUUUAUUCAUUUUCACAGUCAUUCAACAAAUGUGUGGAAGAUGCCAGGCAUGCAAAUGUCAAUCAUGUGGUCCCCAACCUGGAAGAGCUCACAGACUAACUAGAGAGACAGAGGAAUGACCAAGCCCUGGCAAUGCAGUGUGACAGGUACCAUCACUAGACUCUCAAAGUGUCUGGAGAGCCAAUGGCACAACAUGAUACUCUGCCCAGGAGACAAGGGCCAUGGGAACAUGAGGCUUCCUAAACCUUUACAAACUGCCUAGGUUUGUUACCACUUGUCUCUUGCAGUGAUUUUAAGAAACAACUUAUAACAAAAAGGCUUGUGUUUGGCAAAAGGGGUGUAAGGAAGGUGGGGAUGUUUUCUUACUGUGCAGCCCAUCAGACAGACAACAAAAAGUUGAGCAGAGAGAACUGAUGAGGAAAGAGAACAUCAUCUCUGGGGUCUACAAGAAGAAAUUGACAAACAGAAGUUUUAGAUUUAUUCAUUUAUGAGAAGUUACUCAGGGUCCUGAUGUAGCCAGAACAGCGUUAGGUACAGGGAUAGGACUGUGUGUGAAAUGACCCCUUAUCUAACCCAACAGAACCCUUGCCUUACCAAACCUAACAGUCAUCCUUGACGGAAGCAGACAUUAAUCACUAGUUAUUCAAAGAUAGAACCACAAGCGGUAACAGGUAAGUCAAGGCAGCUGGGGUGUGGGUGGAGGGGGUUUAUCCACCAGGAAGCCCUGGCUGUCCUCUCCACAGGUGCUCUCACUCUCGGGGAUGGAGUCAGGCCAGCUGGGCUGCACUCCUGUUCCUCUCCAGGGUGGGAGGGUUGGCUGGGACAGUCCCCCUUCCUCUGCUGGGCUCCUGCAGGGGUCUGUAUACACACUGACCCCUCCCCAGGCAGAAAAAAACUGCUUAGUUCCUGAAUGCCUCUAAUGCUUUUCUACAUGCCCUUCUAGUAUGGACCAUGGACCAUGCUGACCUGAACGGUAUCCACUUUUAUGUUUGUCUUCCCUAUAAUAGUAACUUCUUCAGGUCAUCUUUGUGCCAAAUGUCUAUUCAGUGAACAAAAGAGCAAAAAAAGAUGUCUUUUAUCUUAUUCUAUCAACACAGAGAAACAAAGACCUAGAAUAUUGUUUUCAUAGCUCUAUCAAAAUGAAUCAAGGUCAGCAAAUUUAAACGUUAAACUGAAACCAAUAAGAUGAAAUUUAACAGAAAUAAAUGCAAAAAUUCCUUAUUUGGGUUACUGAAGUCAAUUAUACCAAUUCAGGAUUCAUAAGGAAAGAAAUUCAUUCAUUCAACAAACGUUUAUUGAGCGCCACCUACGUUCUAGUCACUGUACCAGGUGCUGGGUACAUAGCAGAGAAAAUACAAUGUCCUUGAUGUCAUAAAACUUAAAUUUGAUUAUAAAGAAAGAUCUAAGGAUUUUAACUAAUCAUAAGCUUAAUGUGAGUCUUCAAGGUAAUAUGGCAACAACAACAGCAGGAAAACAAACAAAUCCUAACCUGAUUUUACAUGCACCAAGAGACGUUUGUUCAAUGACCAUAUCAUAGCACACCUUGUAUUGCCCUAUGCCGUUCAGCUGACAUCAGUAGCUUGGAGUUAGCCAUAGGUCCCUUGUAUCAAGAGGGACUUUGACAAACCGAGGAGUGUAUUUAGAGAAUGUGGUCAGGCCUACAUGAGGUGUGAGAAGUGAUUGAAGGAACUGCAUGUAUUUGACCUGGAAGACCAAUGGUAAGAGAUGUGACAGCCAUCUUCAAAUACUGAAAGAGUUGUCUGUGCAAGACUUGAUCACACGGGUCUGGAGUUCACCGGGUAGAAAUUACAAGGAAGCAGGAAGAGUCUCACAGGAGAACUGCUCCAUAAAGUUAUGGGAAAGCCUCCUUCCUUAGGGAAAAGAUAUUCCAUCCUUAGAGAUGAUGCAGAAGACAAUUGUGUUGUCUGAGAUCAGAGUAGAAUAUCAAGAGAUCAGACUUGACUUUGAGUUUCGUGAACUGUAAAAUCAAGAAUUUCAUAGCAUAUCCCCUAUUAAUCAGGAAGGCAGUAUUUAGGAGUAGAGGCUUUGGAAAUGGAUAGAACUAGAUUCCAGGUUGGAACUGGGAAAAGUUACUUGCAGACUUCCAGCCUCAUUUCCUCACUUGUAAAAGGAGGGUGGUUAUAGUUCCUGCCUCGUUCCUGAAGUGAGGAUUCAAUGAGAAAAUUCAAAGUGCCCAAUAAAGCACCAGGCCCCAGUAAGUCAUUAAUAAAUGAUGGGUAAUGGUGAUAUUAAAUGCUGUCCUUUUUAUUUGACUAUCUUUCAGUUUAUUUAGGUAAAUCAUUUUGGUGUCUGUAAUUCUGCAAACCUCUAUUAUACUAAGACAAUUAUUUAGCAAUUUAAAAAUGUAAAGUAGAAGUCCUUUAGAAAGUUUUGAAAUGUUUUCUCUGGAGAAAUUAGAAAAAAAGUGUGCUUAAGGAUGCAAUUUUUGGGGCUUGUGAUUACACUGAGAUGAAGCUAGGAAGUUAUUAAUGAAUGGAAUGACUGAGCUAGGUUGGGUCAUGGCAACUUCAGAGACUUCCUUUCUCCUUGGAGACCCCCACCAGGCAACAGAAUUAAAAAUCAAUCCAGCAGACUGAUUUUAUGAGGAUCAAAUUAUGUCAGACCAAUUUAAUUUCCUUCUGUAACAGAGGGACAGACUUUGGUGACACAGGAAAGCAAUGGAUAUCACAUACCAUGGCUUCAGCUAGCUCUUAAAUUCUAGCCUACGUAACAGUCAAAUCUAAAAAAUUAAUUCAAUUCCAUUGAGUAGUGGAGAUGAUCUCCAAAAACAGGAACCACAGGCUCAGGAUCAUUUUUUGAGUAAGAAGAUGCAAGAAACCUCUUCUUUGUGGAACUGGGAGAAAAACAUGCCCCCUCCCUGCAGUGAAAUUCAGAAUUCAUUCAACAAAUAUUUGCUGAACACCUGUCAUGUCACACACCCUCAAUCUGGAUUGGGCUAAGAGAAACACAAGUGAGAUUUAAAAGCAGAUAUGAUUAAAUGGGACUUUUCUUGGGCAGACAUGUUUGUGGAGUUGAGGUUGUGGGUUCAGGGAGGCUACAGAAGAAAUGGAAUCUUUGGGUUGGGCCAGGUGUUUGAAUGGAGUAGGGUAAAGUUGGGGAGAACUUUUUAAAGAGAAGUUGUGCGAUCAGAAAGGCCGUUGGAAGAAUUCAGGCUAAAUUGAUUCAAGUGGGAAAACCUCAGUAGCAAGUACUGCAAAGAAGAGGCAGAAGGAGCUCUAGGAAGAGCUGACAGGAUGGAGGACAGGUUCAGACAGAGCAUCCAUUCAUUCUGAAAACUUUUACAAGUCCCAGAUGUGUUCAGCACAGAAGAUGCAAAGAUGAAUUAGCUUCUCCCCUAGCCCUCAAAAGUCCUGAAGUAGCCAGGAGAAAAGGUGGCUUCAGUUUGACACCAAAGGAGAAUCACUAAGGUCCCAGAAAGAAGGGAUUCUUGGGAGCUGAGGGUAAAGUCUGUGAGUGGUUGAAGGAGUGUUCAGAUGGGGAUGAUUCCCCUGAGAGUCUCAUUUGACUCACAUGGCUGACUUCCAGAGACCUUCUCCAGCUCUAGAAUUCUAGUAGUGAAGCCAUUUUUGUUGAUUUCACAGUCUGGACUCUCCUGAAUCUACUAGCUCUUUUCAUUUACUCCUACCCACCUCUCCCAUCAGAAAACAACUUCUGUAAACAGGAAACAGUGGCAUUCUGGCCUCCUAUCACAACGCAGCCACUGGGGGCUGUUAGGUGUCCCCCAGCAGCUUGGGAGUAAAAUCAUGAGUAAAGCACUGGCAGGGGGUGGGUGAGGUGGAAGUGAGGGGGCAGAGAAGAUGAAAGGAAUACAGAAUCCUGGCCAGUCUCCCAGGGUGGCUGAAACCCAGGAGAUCUGUAGCUUUCACAGAUGACCCAUUCUGACUAAAGAUGACCAGCUCCCAGUCUGAAAAACCCACAGAAGUCAAGCCAUUCCCAAAGGCCCUAGGGAAUGCCAGUACACCCCCAAGGAAGGCCUUGAUUUAAUCUUGGUCUUCAGAAAUAUCCCUCUCCCCUGAGGCUAACAGAAAUUCCCGGGGAAUUAAAAUGACCCUGCCCAUACAAGCGUCUUGCCAAUUUCAGGGUGCUGUCCUGGGGCUGAAGUGGAGCUUCUCCUCUGGAGGAUGCAGGCCUUCAGGACCACCUCUCUGGCAGGGCUGGCCCAUGUUUGGCAGGGUACCGUGAAUGAGUGUGUCUGUCCCAGGCCCCACCUGUUGCAGUGACCAGAUCUCAUGAUGGAUGGGAUAUGAAUUAGUAUGGCAGAGUAAUAAAUCAAGGAAUGUCAGGAAAGUUGUGAGGAACAUGUAUGUACAUAUAGAGCCAUCCCAUAAUAACUCUUUCAUACCCAUACAUAUGCAUAUACGCACAUACACAUACACACUAUAUACUCCCAGUCACCACGGCAACCAUUUCUUAAAGCUGUACUUACAGGGUUUUGGUUGUUUUUUAUUAUUAUUUUUUUCAUGCUAGAUCUUUUCACCCUUAUUUCUUUGGAGUACAUCUCUGGCCUUUGACUCUCUGCUGAGAAGUACCAUACCUCCUUGGGAAACCCUGUCACAUCUAACAUUUACCAGGUCCCUCUAAAAGGCUCAUAUCUAUCCUCAUGCUGACACUGAAUUCAGCCAACACACCAUUUGGUAACUUGCUAAAAGCAUUGGCAAUACAAAAUAACCAUUAUGAUUGCCACUGUGAGUCAGAAAAACUGGAGACAAAUAUAGUGUAAUGUAUUGUACAGCUUUCACAGACAGUCCUCAAUUUUAAAAUAAAACCAAGUCACAAAGUUAAUGUGGAAAAGGAGCCAGCUUUGGUCCUUAAAAAUGGAGAAACCUAUUCUUGAUUAAAGUGACAGCUCUAUUUAGUAGGCAUGGAUUUAAGAUUCUUAACCUUGUAAAAGUAAUUCGCAUUUCCUUCCUCUUCCAUAUGUUAUACAUUAUGCUUCAAAUUAACCCUAUUUUCCAUUUUAGAUUUCAUUAUUCAAAAAUGCCAAUAAUAUCAGUGGGUGAAGAAACACUUAAAACAUUUUUAUCCAAAUAUUGACCUUGCUUUGGACAACAUCCAUGUAAUAAGUAGUGAGAUUUUUUUCCUUUUAAUGUCACCAAUAUGUUUAUGAUUAAAGGUCAGUCUGUGGCAACAGUUUGCAUCUCUGCACUAUAAUUACUUGUUCUGCUAAAAAAUAAAAUAAUAAAAUAAUAAAAUAAAAUAAUAUCCUGACUUAUGACCUGACCAGACAAUUGUUUGCAUCUCCUUUUAUCAGAUUUCUGCUGGAUGAGGAAUGACCUAGGCAAGAGUAUUUAAUUUAUAGUCAAAAUCCACGUGUAUGCCCUGCCUCCUGCAAAGCACUGGGACACCAUAGGGUAGGGAGAGAAGUCCUUUGCUAUGGAACAACUGCUCCAAAAGUAACCUAAAGUGCAGAACUAGCGAUGGGGCGGGGUGCAUUUAUUUUGACCUAAACUGGGAUUCUGGUCUUUGAAGCCCGCGAGUGGGCUCAUUUCCUAGAGGGAGAAAAGGGGAAGCGACAAGAAAGACUCCACCCAGGCGAUCCCAGGCAGGCGCCUUGUGUAUAAAUCCAGGGAGAGAGGGGCACCAGGUGGCCAAUGGAUGAGAAGUCACCCGGCUGGGUACGCAGGUGGCCAGGGGAUGGCAGAUGGGCCAAAGCGGGGCGGAGGCGGCCCUGGGCGGAUCAGGGGGUGGGUGGCUGAGGGAUAUGUGUGCGGAGGAGGUGGGCUGUCCUCCCACCCACCGGUCUCCCGACCAGCGAGCAAGCUUUGGACAAGGCCAAAGAGCAUUGGGCUGCUGGAAGCUGGGGCAUCGGCGCAGCCUUCGGGGUGAACUUACGUGCUUGCUGACAAUGUCCUUAAAGUCCUGGCAUCCUCAGAGCAAGACAAAAAGAGUGGGGGCAAGCGAAGGUAACCCCCAGUGGGGCUCUGGAAGUAUGGAGGCCCCUCUCCUUUCCUCCUUCCUUCCACCUCUGGCCAGCGAGGCAGAACUCACAGACAACACCUGGUUUCUGCACAGAUGCAGCUGCAUUUUUAACCUAGAGGAAAGCAUGGACAGUGACUGGGGGGCUUGGUGGGGGGUGUCGCUCCCUAGAAGGGCACCUUUUCUGAUAUAUGGGUCAGAUGGGCCUUGGUGCACACAGGCAGGCUUCCCAGGAUGGGGACAUUGACAAGGAGGCAACAGUCCUCUCUCCUCCCCUCCAGUGACUAAUAAAAGCUAACAUUUAUGUAGCA